UCAUUCCCCCAUCCUUGAUGUCUGCCUCCAAUCUAACUUCUCCUUCGUCUAAAAUAUUCGAGUAUAAACCCUUGAUGUGGAUGUCGGAUUCACACACUCAAGUAUUUUUAUUAAGUAGGAAAGAUUACUCUUGAGGGACAAAAACGAAUAUGUAAAAACUUAUGAAUUGCUACGAAAAUUGCUAUAGUAUUUCUUUCUCUAGAGGAAGAUCCCCCUUUUACAUGGUCAUUGACCUUUAUAUUUAUACAUAGAGAAACGACAUUAAAAUGAAUAAUUAUGUACAAUUAUUCCCUCUUAAAUGUGUCCGUUUUGAUCUUUGACUUUAAUGCUCAACGUUUGAAUUUGAGUUGACUCCGAUCUUUAUGGGCCUCGCCUUUUGGCCCAAAUGUCCUUAGGACCGACUUAACCAUGACUUCGUCUCCGGACUCGUGUCGAGGUGUAGUCACUUCGGACUCUCUUCACGUUGACAACCACUCCGACUGUUCUUUUGACUUGUGGGUCUAGUGGGCUUUAUCCUUUAUGGGUCGUUAUCCUGUCUACGUGGCAAUCUUUGGUUGGUCUCGGACUUCUGGUGCGGGAUCCGACACCAACAAUUAGCCCCCCAAGUUCUUCGAAGUGCCAUUCCAAUUCGGAGGACUUUAAAUGCUUGAAUGACCAAAGAUUGCGCUCGAGAAUCUUUCUGAUUUCCCGCCGAAAAUCUCAUCACUCCUUUAAUUUCGGCACUAGCCAUUUUUAUCCGAGUGACAUCUGUCAUCAUUAUGACCGUAUAUUAAUUAUUUACUAUUAAAACGGGAAAAACCUUCCCACUUCCCACACAACUUCCGAGGCGGUUUCAUCAUUUAGUUUGUGUAAGGUAACUUCUUUUCACCAUCAUUUUCUUCUUUUACUUUUGUGCUUUAAUCAAAACUUCUCUCUACUUUUCUUCGCCGAAACUUUCUUCGCCGAACCUUGAAUUUUUCAUUUUCCUCCGAUGACUUCCGAUUCUGAGAGACCUGAAUCUCCGUCUUACGAUGAGAGGCGUUCUAGUAAUGACGAAUGCACUCGUCCUAACGAUAUCGCCGGUCCUCAUUACAAAUCCACCUGUACUCUUCAAUCCCUUGAGCGAUUAAAGGGGCUUUGUCAAAUUCCUCCUGGAAUCAUAGCGGAGGCACAAAUAGCCGAUCCUACGGAAUCCCCGGAGAACCACCGUGAUGUGUAUUUUUUGCGUUUACGAAAUUUACUUCAACGGCUGCGGAUUGACCUUCCCCAUUCCCGAAGCCCUAAUUCGAUUCCUGGCGGCUCUUGAGAUUGCUUUACCUCAACUAACCCCCAAUCUCCUCCGAACCAUCCUCGGGAUUAUAACCGUUGCGGCAGAGGCUGGCUACAUCAUUGGAGUCCCCGAGCUGAAUGAACUUCUAAGUGUGAGAAGUUCGUCAAAGAAAACGGGAUACUUCUCGGCAUACCCAAAUGCAAAUAGAAACGUCAUCUCGCACCUCCCGAACAAGGAUGAAAACUGGCACCAUCCUUGGUUCCUGAUUAAGAAAACUCCUGCUUCGAUUGGGAAUCUUUCCGAUGUACUCCCAUCGAAGUGGUCUACGAAGCCUGGUAGAGACUAGGUCGUAUAUUCCUUUCCUGUUCAUUUUAUUUUUUUUUACUGACCAAAUUCGUUGUUUCACUUCACAGCUCUCAUCGCUUCAACUCUCCCGACUGAAGAAUUUGUCAAGUUCUUCAAAACAAUCCUCGAAGGGGAAACCCUUUGGAAUUCUUUCACCCUCGAUCGGUUUGUCGAGGCCAACCGAAAACUCAGGAUGAGUCCUCCCAAUCUACUUCAUCGUCUUCCGCCUCCUCCCUCAACUCAGGGAAUGUCAGUUCGGGCCCUUACUGCCCAGCGUAAGAAACUCUCUAAGCCGAUAGCAGAGGCUUGUGAUGAAAACAAGGCGUUCCUUGCGGCCGCCAUUGACAAAAAAGAUUACAGCAGGACCCUGCUGGUUGAUGAUAAUAGCUCCGAGGGCGCCAGAUCCGUUGCUGCUUAUAGGCUAACACCUCGUCGUGAACGUCAUGACGAACGUUCUCCUCGGAGAGAGCGGUCUCCUCGUCGUGAUUCUCCUCGUCCUCCCCGAGACGAUUUCAGCAAUGAACCACUUAAGAAUUUGGUUCGUAGGAAGAGGGACAAGUCGUCCCGUAGUGACUCGUCUCCGCGAAGGGAGAAAUCAAGGGCCCGAACUGACCGUUCACCUCGAUCAUCCCCUCCCACUGAACCAAUGGGUCCUCCCCGACUUGUUGACAUGUCUUCUUCUUCCCAGCCCGACAGCGAAAAGACUGCUCGGAGUGCAUCCCCUAAAAAGGGAGAUUCUGAAUCUCGAGAUGCUUCCUCGAGGUUAAAGCCUGCUCUUGUCCCUCAAGUCAAAUCGCUUUCAGGUUUGGUGACUUACACAUACUUAAACGUUUUUGUCUCUAUUAAGAUUCCAAUUUUUACAACUCUUCCUUCUUCGCAGCUAUGGAGAAAGAAGGCAACGUCUUCCGAUGCUUCAAGACCCGAUCGGGUUAUAUCUUGCCAGACUUCGACAAGUGGCGCCCUGCGAUUUGCGAACGCUAUUUGCUUCACGCUCAUCAUUCAUCUCGGGUUAGUUCCGUUUUUUGUUUUUUUUUUUUUUUUUUUUAUGUAUUGCUAUUCUGCAAACUGACUCGCCAUCCCGGGUUUAUAUAUAAUGCUAGGCUCACAGCGAACUUAACGACAUGAUUGAACAUUACGAAGGGUUGGUCAUUGGACGGGAGAAGGAGAUUGACAUGUGGAAGAAGAAAUUCUCAGCUCUUGAGGCUGAACUCAGUUCUUCUGCCGGCUCCAAGCACGAUCUGGAGGACUGAUAUCUCUGUAUUUUACCUCUUUUUAGCACACAUUUCUUAUGCAUUUAUCUUAGUUUACUCUCUGUUUCAUUGCAUUAAUAGUCCUUUUUCAUAAGAUUUUCAUCACUUAGUACGAUUUGCAUUGCAUGGCAUAGCAUGUUGCAUAUUGGAUGAGUUUUAGGUACUUUGGAGCUUAUUUGGGACUUGAUGGAGCAAGGAGGAACCAACACGACCUUGGAGCUAGACUUGGGAUCGAAUUGGAGAGGAAUGAAGUCGUUCAAGAUCACCCAGGAGCAGUCUCGACCUGCAGGCUCUACGACACGUCGAGUAGGACGCCAAGAUGCAGACUGGGAGCAGUCUCGACCUGCAGGCUCUACGACACGUCGAGUAGGACGCCAAGAAGCAGACUGGGAGCAGACUCGACCAGACAGACUCGAUGACACGUCGAGAUGGACGUCAAGGCGCCACCUUUGAAGAUCAGACGGUCUCGACGUGGCUGGCUCGACGUCACGUCGAGUUGGCCUCCACCGACUCUCUAUUUUGUCCUGUAGCCAAUUAGGGCAACCUAGUAUUUCCUAUAAAUAGGGGUACAUGCUAUUGUCCAGAGGAUAUUCUCUUUACCCAGCAGAUAUUCCUUUGUUCUCUCAUAAACCCUAGUUUUUGUAAUCGUUUUUCCUGUUGAUCCUUUGAGUUUUUGGAUUUCGUUUCUUCAUCAAAGUUGUAGAUCUGCCUCUUAUCUAUAACAUACUUGCUUUUUAAUGAUUUCUGGGUUUGAAACGUUUUCUGGGUUUUUAUGCAUGAUGUUCUUCAGUGUUCUUGAGUAGUGGAUUAGGGUUCUUGAGGAUGGGAUAGAUUAGGUGUGGAAUCCUUAGUAUAUUUAGGUGGUUAAGUGUAGAAUUGCUUGAUUUCCCUUCUGGUUUAGUAGAUCUUAAUGCUACUUCCUCUCUGAUCAAUUGGAAGUUGAUCUCAGACAUUUCCACACCCAAAAGGUGUUUGAUGAAAUGUCUGAACCAACUAUUCCAGAGAUUUGCAUACUCUAGCCCAAGAGAUUGGAUGUUUAGAAUGCUUAUUGACUUUAUUAGAUUGAAUCAUAAUGCCUGCUAGGUUAUAUUUCUUCAAUGAGAAUUGGGUAUGAAAGUGAUUUAGCUUGAGAAUCUCUGUCACGAGAGUGGAUUGAUUUGUAUUCGAAUCUAUUGUCUAGGGAUAGCUUGAUUGAGUUUGUUAACCACCUAGCUAGACUAAGGAGACUGCCAUAAUCGAUUACCCCAUUCCUCAGGACCUUUUAUCUCUAUUGAUUGUUUAAAUCUCGUUUCUGUUAGCUUUUGUGACCAUCUCGACCUGUUAGGCCUAGAUCGUUUCUCUGCAUUGUUAGGUUGCUAGUUUCUUUUCCAAAGCUUAUGCAUGAUAGUUUCUGGUCUUUAGUUUACUUCUUGCUCUUGUUUACUCGCUGUUUAGUUCUCUUUUUACGCUUUCGAAUUCGGUAUUUGCAUGUUAAAUUGGUUGCUUAGGAUCAAUAGAAACACACAAAACCCUUUCACAAUUGGCUUGACUUAUUUGCUUUCUGUUUCAUAUCUUGAAUGCUUGCAGUCACACUGAGAUUGGAUUGAUAACCUAAUAUACUACAAUGGCAUGUGUAUUAGGGAUUGAUACCUGUUAGAUAAAGCAAAAUCUAACUAUCAAUUUGGCGCCGUUGCCGGUCUUGUGUUGCAUUGUUCCAUUUAAGAUUUCAGAAACGUUUAAGAUCAAGUUCUUUCUUUACCUUGGUUACUAACUCUUCAUUUCAUCUGCUUGUUUUUGUGCUCCAGGUACCAUCUCGACCUCACGUCGAGAUUGCCACAUCGAGUCUGACCACCCUGCAUUGUUAGGUACCAUCUCGACCUCACGUCGAGCCUGCACAUCGAGACUAACCACUUUGUAUGCAAACUCGUUCUAAAGGCUCCAGCAACCUCAUCAGCUACAAAGACAACAUCAACCAGUUAGCUCGUGAGUUGAAAGAACGUAGAGCCAGAGACGGUUGUGAACUGCACAAUCCAGUAGCCAUGGAACCACAAGAACAAGACAAUCAAGGAGUUGGGAUACCAAGGAACAUUGGUGCUGGGGAUGCACCAAGAAGCCAUCAACAGAGACAGGGCAUAGUUCCACCUCCUGUCCAGAACAACAAUUUCGAGAUCAAGAGUGGAUUGAUCUCAAUGAUACAAGGAAACAAGUUUCAUGGGUUGCCUAUGGAGGAUCCCUUAGACCACUUGGAUAACUUUGACAGGCUCUGCAGCCUCACCAAGAUAAAUGGUGUUAGUGAAGACGGUUUCAAGCUGCGUCUGUUUCCCUUCUCGCUGGGAGACAAAGCACACCAAUGGGAGAAGACACUACCUCCUGACUCCAUAACAUCUUGGGACGAUUGUAAGACGGCCUUCUUGACAAAGUUCUUCUCAAAUUCAAGAACUGCAAGGCUAAGGAAUGAAAUCUCCAGUUUCACCCAGAAACAGUCUGAAUCCUUUUGUGAGGCCUGGGAGAGAUUCAAAGGCUACACUACACAAUGUCCACAUCACGGUUUCAAGAAAGCUUCUUUGCUCAGUACACUCUACAGAGGAGCUCUGCCCAAGUUCAGAAUGGUCCUGGACACUGCUUCAAAUGGGAAUUUCUUGAAUAAGGAUGUUGAAGAAGGUUGGGAUUUGGUUGAGAACUUAGCUCAGUCCGACGGUAAUUAUAAUGAAGAUUUUGAUCGCUCCAACAGAGGUAUUGGAGAUCCGGAUGCAAAGCAUACUAAGGAGAUGAUUCAUGCUCUCAACGAAAAGCUGGAUAAAUUACUGCUUACUCAACAGAAGCCAGUCCACUAUAUCACUGAAGAAGAGCACUAUCAAAUCCAAGAGGGGGAGAAUACUCAGGCUGCAGAAGUCAGCUAUGUUCAGAACCAAGGUGGCUACAACAAGGGCUACAACCCCUACAUGCCUGCUCAUCCUAAUCUAUCUUACCGGAGCACGAAUGUUGCAAACCCUCAAGAUCAGGUUUACCCUCAGCAACAACAGAACCAGUCCAAGCCAUUCAUACCGUACAAUCAAGGCUUUGUCCCAAAGCAGCAGUUUAGUGGCGGUUAUCAACAAUAUAAUCCACCACCCGGUUUUGCACAGCAACCCCAGCCAGCUCCACCUGCACAAGAUCAAGAGAUGAAACAAAUGCUUCAGCAGCUUCUACAAGGUCAAGCAGCUGGUGCUAUAGCUCUUGAUAAGAAAAUGGCUGAGAUUCACAACAAAGUAGACUGCUCCUUCAAUGAUCUCAAUAUCAAGUUUGAGGCUCUAAACUCCAGGUUGAAGUACGUGGAGAGCAAAAUUGCUUCUACUUCUGCGCCUACGAAUCCAGGGCAACUGCCAGGGAAAGCUAUUCAGAAUCAGAAAGGUCAUGUUAAUGCUAUUCACCUUCGCAGUGGUCGAGAGCUGCAAACUCGACCUAGCAUAGCUCCUGUCACUGAGGACAGUGAGAUUCAAGAGGGGGAGGAUUUCAUUCAGCAUGAAACUCAAGUAGAAGACACCACUAAGCUAAACCAAGAGACUGUACCUAGGGAUCAAGCUAAGAGUCCCCAAAUCGAAAAACCAACUGUUGAUAAGAGUAAGAAGAAAGCUUUUAUCCCACCACCCUACAAGCCCAAAAUACCAUUCCCAGGAAGAUUCAAGAGGGAUAUCAUUGAGAAGUACAGAGCCAUGUUUGCUGAACACAUCAAGGAGAUUGAAUUAAGGAUGCCUCUCAUUGAUGCUUUCAUGCUGAUUCCGGAUUCUCACAAAUACUUCAAAGACAUGGUAAUGGAGAGAAUUAAGGAAGUGCAAGGGAUGGAGAGUCAUGAGUGUAGUGAAAUCAUCCAAACGAAGGUUAUUCCCAAGAAAUUAGGAGAUCCUGGUUCGUUUACUCUACCUUGCUCUCUAGGCACUUUAGCCUUUAGUAACUGCCUCUGCGAUCUAGGUGCUUUUAAAAGUCUCAUGCCUCUCUCCGUGGCCAAGAGACUGGGUUUCAGCAAGUAUAAACCUUGCAACAUCUCCUUGAUCCUGGCUGAUGAGUCUGUCAGAUUUCCUCAUGGGUUAUUAGAAGAUUUGCCUAUUAAGAUUGGAAAUGCUGAAAUCCCUACAGACUUCAUAGUGCUAGAAAUGGAUGAACCAAAAGAUCCUUUAAUCUUAGGAAGGCCCUUCUUAGCCACUGCUGGAGCUGUCAUUGAUGUUAAGAAUGGGAAGAUUGAUCUUAAUCUGGGAAAUGAUUUCACAAUGAAGUUUGACAUCAAUGAUGCCACGAGGAAGCCAACGAUUGAAGGACAGACCUUUGUAGUUAAGGUAAUGGAUUGCCUAGCUGAUGAACAGCUAGAGGAGGUUGCUGAGGAAGAUCACCAAAAAACUUCUUUGACUAAGAAUGGUGAAGCAGGAUAUCUUCUCACUGAAACCUUGAGAUGUGGUAAGUCACUAGACUCACACAAGGAAGUAGCAGGGUCAGAGGUCUUUAAAGGCUUGACUGAGCCAGAAACAGAGGUUAAGAUGGCUUAUGAAGCAAGCUCAACACAUGCUCAACCAACUGACUCGAGUAUACAUUUGAGCAAGCCUUCAACUAGUCUGGAGAACUCUAGCUCGACCGAACAUCGUGAUAAGCUGCUAGAGUCUAGCAAUUCUACUCCAGAUGGCUGGUUAGAACUCAAGGAGAGGUCCAAAUGGCAGGAUAAAGCCAUAAGGGAGCUAACAGGCACUGUGAGAGAGCUGAAGGAUCAAAUCAAGAAGCUCCAUGGGAUAGCCAACCAAGUACCACUCCAAAUCAAGGACAUCCCAAAUGAUGAAGCGUCUACUCUGGUCAGCGCAAAGGGGAGUGAAUUCACUUCAGCAUGGUCUAUAGAAGAAGACUAUCCAGUUGCUCAACAAGAAGCUUACUGUGAGAAAAGGGCUAUUGAGUACUCAACUUCAGAUUUAUCAAGAGAGCCUGCUAAGCCAGAUGAUUCAUCCACCUGCAGGACAGAGGAGACCUCUCAACCUUUUGAUUCUUAUGACUAAUAUUUUGCUAUGGAAAAGUCAAGCUAAAGACUUUAAACAAGCUCACUUGGGAGGAAGUUCCAUGUCUAUCCUUGUGAAUAUUAGUUAUUUCCUUGUUAUUUUUGAUGUUUUUGCUUAAGUGUCUCAGGAUAAAGCGUUUUAAGGAAGCCAAGGCGCAAAACAGAAUGAGUUGCCUUGUCUCGAUGUGCCCUACUCGACUACAAGUCGAGCUUGCCCCUUGGAAUGACUCCAAGCAGAAAAAUGAAGCCUACUCGACGUACUAGCUCGACCCAACGUCGAGUUAGCCCAUGAAGCCCACCAGUACCAGGUCAAUCACCUCCUUCUUCACCCAUCCAUGAGGUAACAACUCCAAUUCACCAUUGUAUAUACCGCAUUUCAUUUUUUGUCUCUGUUGGUUUGCCCUGAGUACUCUCUUCCAAAUGCUUGUUACACAGAGGACUGUGUAAUUUAAGUUUGGGGGAGGGCUCAGGGAGUAUUUGACAUUGUGUUUUGUUUUCUUAUUUCAAAUUUUGCAUCAUUGCAUCUAAGGCAUAGAAAAACCAUAAAAAUUUGAAAUUUUUUGAAAAUGAUUUCACAAAAACAGAGUGUUCAUAUAGCUUGCAUUGUCAUUUUAGGAUUGUUUUAGUAUGCUUUCACUUAGGGCUGUUGCAUCAUGCAUUUGCAUUGGAGAUUAUGAUGAUUAUAACCUUGUAAAUAUGCUUAUUCACUAAGUAGAACUCAGUGCCCUGGUUGUUAGUUCUCUAAUGCAUAAUCGACUGAACUUGAAGUAAGACCGCACCAUCUUUUGAAUUCAACGCUUGACUUUCUUGUUUUUAUUCGAAUCUCGCUUUGAUCUGAUGCCAUUCCCUAUCUAUUUGAACUUGAAUUUUGACUUAUAAUUAUCAUGCUGUGCAUUGUGCUUUGAACUCAUGGAUACCUUAAAAUACUUGGACUUUCUUUUACCUUUUGAUCACUCUUGCUAGUCCAAGUAGCUGACUCUCAUCUUUGGAGCAGUUAUUCCUCACCCUUAGCCUUAACCUUCUUUCAAGCCAUUUAUCAUUUGUGUGUGAAUGUGAGGCCUUAUUCCGAUUGAGCUUGGUAGAAAGUGUUAGGUCUGUAACGACAAGGAUAGUAUCUCAUGUAGUUCUGGUUCACGUUAUCUGGACCAGAUAGGACUAGGUGGGUGCUUAAUUCUGGGUUUGGGUUGUGUUUAAAAGAAAGAAAAGGUUGUGUUCAUCAUUGAAAGAAAAGAAAAGGGAAAAGAGUCCUAAGGAGAAGUAGCUAAAGUAAGAGAAGUCUAGUAAAUAAUUUGGGUGUGCUAAAGUAAAGGAAAAAGGGUUCUGUAAAUAGCUUAAAGAGUUUGGGCAAAAGCCUUGUGUUUAUAAGAAGAAUGAAAGGGAACCCUAGUUGUUAAAGAAACCCGAUCCGCUAGACAGAGCAGUAAGAAAGCUUCUCCUAGGAUAGAAAGCAAAGAAAAGAAAGGAAUGAUGUGAGUAAAAGUCUGCAAAUGUUUGGAGUGCAAAAGGGUAGAGUUAAGUUCAUGUUCUGGGAUUAGAAAUAGGACCUCCAUAUGGGUUGAUAUUGGUUACAUUCUGGGUAGAUGGGGUCUUAUCCUUGUAUGCAUAACUUGAUACUCACCUUUAGCAUUCUACUAAAGCUCAAUCAUUCUUGAGAGAUCCCUUGUUGUGAUUUAAACCAGAUCUUUAAGGGACCAUCUUUGUCUCUAAAACCUUUACCCUUUAGCCAAAUGUGUUCAUAUCCAUUGCAUAGUAUGAUUCACGGUUCCUACUUAAUAAAUGUUAAAGGGAAUGUGCAGAUUUGAAUGCUUGUUUUGAUUAAGGCAGAGGUUAGGUUGAGAUGCGAAGGAGAUGGCUAAUGUUUUUAAGUAGGGAUCAGUCAACCUUGCAUUCUAGAAUUAGCAACCUGGACAUUGAGUUCACUUACUCUAUAUGCAUGUUUUGGUUCUGAGUCUCCACUUUCAAACCUCUUCUCCAGCUUGGUUCUAUUUGUUUGCUUGAGGGCAAGCAAGAGCUAAGUUUGGGGGAGUUGAUAUCUCUGUAUUUUACCUCUUUUUAGCACACAUUUCUUAUGCAUUUAGCUUAGUUUCCUCUCUGUUUCAUUGCAUUAAUAGUCCUUUUUCAUAAGAUUUUCAUCACUUAGUACGAUUUGCAUUGCAUGGCAUAGCAUGUUGCAUAUUGGAUGAGUUUUAGGUACUUUGGAGCUUAUUUGGGACUUGAUGGAGCAAGGAGGAACCAACACGACCUUGGAGCUAGACUUGGGAUCGAAUUGGAGAGGAAUGAAGUCGUUCAAGAUCACCCAGGAGCAGUCUCGACCUGCAGGCUCUACGACACGUCGAGUAGGACGCCAAGAUGCAGACUGGGAGCAGUCUCGACCUGCAGGCUCUACGACACGUCGAGUAGGACGCCAAGAAGCAGACUGGGAGCAGACUCGACCAGACAGACUCGAUGACACGUCGAGAUGGACGUCAAGGCGCCACCUUUGAAGAUCAGACGGUCUCGACGUGGCUGGCUCGACGUCACGUCGAGUUGGCCUCCACCGACUCUCUAUUUUGUCCUGUAGCCAAUUAGGGCAACCUUGUAUUUCCUAUAAAUAGGGGUACAUGCUAUUGUCCAGAGGAUAUUCCUUUUACCCAGCAGAUAUUCUUCUUUUCUCUCAUAAACCCUAGUUUUUGUAAUCGUUUUUCCUGUUGAUCCUUUGAGUUUUUGGAUUUCGUUUCUUCAUCAAAGUUGUAGAUCUCCCUCUUAUCUAUAACAUACUUGCUUUUUAAUGAUUUCUGGGUUUGAAACGUUUUCUGGGUUUUUAUGCAUGAUGUUCUUCAGUGUUCUUGAGUAGUGGAUUAGGGUUCUUGAGGAUGGGAUAGAUUAGGUGUGGAAUCCUUAGUAUAUUUAGGUGGUUAAGUGUAGAAUUGCUUGAUUUCCCUUCUGGUUUAGUAGAUCUUAAUGCUACUUCCUCUCUGAUCAAUUGGAAGUUGAUCUCAGAUAUUUUCACACCCAAAAGGUGUUUGAUGAAAUGUCUGAACCAACUAUUCCAGAGAUUUGCAUACUCUAGCCCAAGAGAUUGGAUGUUUAGAAUGCUUAUUGACUUUAUUAGAUUGAAUCAUAAUGCCUGCUAGGUUAUAUUUCUUCAAUGAGAAUUGAGUAUGAAAGUGAUUUAGCUUGAGAAUCUCUGUCACGAGAGUGGAUUGAUUUGUAUUCGAAUCUAUUGUCUAGGGAUAGCUUGAUUGAGUUUGUUAACCACCUAGGUAGACUAAGGAGACUGCCAUAAUCGAUUACCCCAUUCCUCAGGACCUUUUAUCUCUAUUGAUUGUUUAAAUCUCGUUUCUGUUAACUUUUGUGACCAUCUCGACCUGUUAGGCCUAGAUCGUUUCUCUGCAUUGUUAGGUUGCUAGUUUCUUUUCCAAAGCUUAUGCAUGAUAGUUUCUGGUCUUUAGUUUACUUCUUGCUCUUGUUUACUUGCUGUUUAGUUCUCUUUUUACGCUUUCGAAUUCGGUAUUUGCAUGUUAAAUUGGUUGCUUAGGAUCAAUAGAAACACACAAAACCCUUUCACAAUUGGCUUGACUUAUUUGCUUUCUGUUUCAUAUCUUGAAUGCUUGCAGUCACACUGAGAUUGGAUUGAUAACCUAAUAUACUACAAUGGCAUGUGUAUUAGGGAUUGAUGCUUGCAGUCAAUUUAUCUUUCUUAUACUCAGUCAUACACACCAGUCUUGUCAUAUUGGACUCCGCAGAUAAAGGGGGAGCUGCAAGACCAGUAUGACCGGAAUUACAAACUCCAGGAUGAACUUUCUGGUGGUCAGGGUAGACUCCAUGAAUCUGAAUCAACCGCCGAUACCCUAAACAACCAACUUAUCGAGCUUAACGCGAAGUACAAGGCGUUAGCCAAGUUGCGUGAUUCCGAGUUGGCAAGGUCAGCAUCGAAAGCCAGAAAAGAUGUUAAGGGACGCGGGAUGGAGUUGAUCCAGGGGGCCUUCCGCUUCAUUCAAACCGAGAAGGCUAGGUCAGAUCUGGAAUCAGACGUCAAGGAGCACGAGAGCAAUUUGAUUCUGUUGGACCAAAUCCAUGAUGCAGAUUUCUCCGAGGUGCAAGAGAGGGCCGAACUGUCGACCAAUCUUUCUGAAAAGCGGAGUCGUUUGGCAGCUCUUCCCGCUUCGACUUUCAACCCGCAGGACUUUGAGGAAUUCUUCACAGAAUCUCAUCCUAUAAGUGAAUCGGGUCUAGACUGGGCGGGUAACUUUUGGCUCUUGAUACUCAUUACCGUUUCUUACCUUGUACCUUUGAUUGACUGGAAUUAUUUUUUCUAGGCUCAAGUGAGACGGAAGACGUUGUCCCACCCGAAGUUCCUGCGGUGCCGGAGGUCACUCCGGAGGAUGGUUGUACCGCGGAGGGUGGUCCGGGAGCUUCAUCUGAUCAAGCGCCAAUUAAGGAGGCGAGUGAAACUUUGACAGCUGAGCCGGAGUCCGAGGUGGAGGUCGAUCCGUAGUGGCUGUGUCCACUUUAAACUGGGGAUUGUCCCAUUUAGUUUAAACUUAAUUUCGAACUUAUUUUUGGCCUAAGGAGGCUUUAUCAUUUCUUUUGAACAAGAUAUUUGCCUGAGGAGGCUUUUAAACCUUUCUAGGUUAUGACCCAAGGGGGUUUGGUUAAAAUUAUAUGCGGGUUUGCAAAGUCCGCUUUUAACCUUUUGUGGCCUUGUGGUUAUGCUUUUGGGAUUUUUAGGCUGAUCAGACCUUUCCCUUAAGAAUGCGAGAACUGAGCUCGGCUUAAAGCGAGUUCCCCACUUCGGGUUUAGUCAACUCGAUAAAUUUAUUGGGCUUGGGCCUUAGAAACUUUUGUAGUUAAUGCGACGGUUGCUUUUUCCCUUCUUAUUUCUCAAAAGUAGGGAAAACGGCUCGUCUUUAAUGCAAAAACUGCCUUUUCUCGAUUUUCCAAAAAUGGUUUAAACCACUCGGGCACACUACCAUUAUUGGAUUUAUGGUUCCAAGACAAACCCUAAAUCAUUAUAAAUAAAGGCUUACCUAUCUCUAAGAUUUAUUUAAAUACGCUUUUAGAAUCUUACUUGUAGAAUAUUACGAGAAUGGAAAACGAAAAAGUAGCCCCCGUUGAUCCCGGUAGCCCACUCUUCUUGUCCGGCGACGGCUUUGAACCGGCCGGCGUUCUCUUCCCUCACGCCGUCUUUCACUUUCCUUCAAAGGAGAAAAAAGAGGCUUGCGACUUUAUUGACAAGGUUAAUAUCUGUCGUCUUUGAUUAAAAACUUUCUGUUUCUUCUUAUUCAUUCAUCUUUAUGCUAGGUUGCCGACAAACACCGUCGCUUGUGUGAAGAGAGGCAGCGGCUAGGCCUUUAAAGGCAAACACUCGAGGCUCGCAUCGCUCGGGUGGAGAGGAAAAUACGGGCUUUGGAAAGUGACCCCUUUCAAUGGGAAUGGCGGAACUUUGAUUCUGUCGCUGAGAUCCCGAAGAUGCUUCGGAUGUAUCUCCGUGCUAAAGGAGUCCCGGGUCCCGUGAAUGCCCCGGUCUAUACCGUUCCAUCUGACAGCGAAGAAGAAGACGAGGAGGAGGCCAGCACCUGUCGGAAACGCGUUCGGGAUCAUCCCGAAGUGGAUGCCAAGAACAAGGCGUCCACUUCAAAGACUAAACCGGCGAUGAAGGAGCCUGUUCCUGAGCCUCUUCCAUAAAUGUCCUCCAACUUCUUCACUUAUUUUGAACUCGUAACGGGCUUCGGCCCCUUUUUAUUUAUGGAAACAUUUGCAAUUUUCCUUAUUUUUCAAAUAUUCUAGGAGAUGCGUCUUUUAAUGCAGGAUCUGUUCGAGGGCAUAAAUCUCUCCGCGAAUCACUCCAUUCCUAGGAUAGAAUCCGCAGCUAACUUAGGAAUAUGACAUUCCUAUAAAUUACAGUCUCAGCUUCUCUUUUCUCCUCACCAUUCUCUUUCAUUUUAACAGACAUGGAGUUCAACCUUCGAUGUUCAGAAUCUAUGCCCGACUUCUCCAGGAUCGGAAUGAUAAACGAAGACGUUCCAAAUGAGCCAAACAGGCAAACUCCUCCACCUCGCGGCUUCUUCAGAUCUCAGAUCCGAGCUCCAUGUGCUUUGAUCAGGGAUCUCCCCAUUAGAGACCAAGGAACAGCGAUGGCAUUCAUAGAGGCACUCACGCUUCAGCAUCGGAAGCUUACAUUGGAAAAGAGGAGACUCCGGAAGAGAAUUAACCGGAUGCAACGCAGGCUUACUACGGUAUCAAGAGAUCUCCACAUCCUUGAAUCUCACCCCGGAGAAUGGAUAGAACUCGGAAUCUCUGACUUCGCUCGAAUUCCAGACUGCAUGUUGUCAAUCCUUGACCUUGCUGGCCAAGGAGUCGAAGUGUUCUGUUCGUCAACAAGAUCUCCAUAAUCCGAUGUGUACGAUGAGGGAUAUUUUGCCUUAUUUGCUUAAAUAAACGCUCCUUUUCCAAUCUCUUGUAUGUUCGCAUAGCCGAACUUUAUUUGCUUCGCUUGUUCGCACGGUCGAACCUUUUCCUUUAAUACAGAAAUAAAACAAGAUUUUUUAUUAAUAGCUGAACUCGUUUCCGAGCUGCCUACGUACCCAUUUCGGGAUCAAGCCACACCGUAGUUCAUGUACAUAAAAAAUGCAUGUAGCUUUAAACAUAGAACUUCUUUAGGUUGAUCACAUUCCAAGGUCGCUUGACUGGUAUGUCUUCUAAGUCUUUCAGCCUAUAAACACCGUUUCGAACCACUUCGGUAACAAUAUAAGGUCCUUCCCAAUUAAUACCAAGUUUACCGGCGCCUUCUUCUUUUUUAUUGUCAAAAACGCGUCUUAACACAUAAUCUCCCACGAAGAACGGCCUACUUUUGACUUUAGAGUUGUAAUAUCGGGCUGCUGCCUGCUGGUAAUUCUGAAUCCGAAUCAAAGAUUGAUCACGCCUUUCAUUUAUGGUAUCUAGUGAAUCAUUAAGCAUUGCUGAAUUUUCUUCCUCGUUUAACGGUGCUUCUGUUCGGCGAAGUCCGGGCACAUUAAGUUCAGCUGGUACUACCGCCUCCAUGCCAUAAACCAAAGAGAAUGGAGUUUCCCCUGUAGGUCGCCUAGGGGUUGUACGAUAGGCCCACAGGACGGGUUGGAGUUCUUCAUACCAUCCUCCCUUUAGAUGACUUAAGCGUUUCUUGAGAUUGCUCAAUAUCGUCUUGUUCGCGGCUUCAGCUUGACCGUUUCCUUGCGGAUAUCGUGGAGUAGAAUAACUAACUUUGAUUCCCCACUCCGCACAAAAGGCAUCAAACUCGUGUGAAAUGAAUUGUGGUCCAUUAUCAGUAACUAUUUCGUACGGAACUCCAUGUCGACAUAUAAUGUUUUUCCAAAUAAAGGUCUUUACCGCCGAAUCCUUGAUACCAACAUACGCCUCAGCUUCAAUCCAUUUCGAAAAGUAGUCCGUGAGGACUAAAAGGUAUUGUACACCUCGAGUUGAUUUGUGCAACGGUCCAAUGAUGUCCAUUGACCACCUCAUAAACGGGUAUGGGGCUGAAAUGGAGGAGAAUAAUUCCGACGGUUGAUGGAUCAAUGGUGCAUGGAGUUGGCAGCGCUUACAUCUUUGGGCGAACUUAACACAAUCUGUAAUCAUAGUGGGCCAAUAAUAUCCCAUUCUCUUAACUUUAAAAGCCAUAGCCCUUCCUGAUGAAUGACUCCCACAUAAUCCUUCAUGCACUUCGCUCAUAAUGAUUUCGACUUCGGGCCCAAAAAUGCAUAAUAGGUAAGGGUCACUGACACCUCGUCUAUACAAUGUGUCUUUUGAAAGACAAAAUUUCGCGCUAACGAUUCUCAUUUUUCUGGCUUGCCACUUAUUCUUUGGGAGCUCGCCUGUCAUAAUGUAGUGCUUUAUUGGCUCCCUCCAGUCAGCCCCCCAGUCUUUAGCCGGAAUUUGGUCAACCUUGUGAAAUACUCGUGGCUCUGGCUCGGGAUGUUCGUUUGGUUCAAGAACAUCCUCCUCGAUUAACGGCUCGGUUUCUAAUAUUGUUUCUGGAAUCACAUCUUCAGCUAAGACAACGGGUUCCUUGUUAGAUGUAUUUGAUCCCCUUGACUUCCUCCGUUUGUUGGGUGGCGGUUCGAUCUCUGGUUCGCCACGGUCGCGUGCCGCUGCUCGAGACCUUGUAACGACGAGGGUUUCUUUGUUGUCUUGAAUGCUUCGCUCCGAAAUGCAUUCCACUGGAAUAACUCUUUUCAACUCAGGAUCUGAUGUUGACGCCAAUGCGGCAAGUGCAUCCGCAGUUGUAUUCUCUCCCCGAGGUAUGCGGAUUAAUUCGAAUUUCGAGAAAUUUGUAGAUAGAUCCUUCACCACUUCAAGGUACGCUUCCAUUCUUGAGUCUUUGGCUUCAUAAUCUCCAUUAAACUGGUUAACUACUAAUUGCGAAUCGCAAUAAGCCAAUAUUUCCUUAGCUCCAACUCCUUGUGCCAAUCGAAGUCCGGCAAUCAGGGCUUUGUAUUCUGCCUCGUUAUUGGAGGCAUUGAAUAACAAUCGGAACGAUUGUUCUAGAAUUUCUGAUGUUGGAGACUCCAACUUGAUUCCCACUCCGGAUCCUUGCUUUGUUGAAGACCCAUCUACAUGUAAUUUCCAAGUUUGGUUCUCCCGUUGCUCUAUCGUUCCAGGUAUUGGUAGCAUGGUAGCUCGGUUAAGAAAUCUGCUAAAACCUGAGCUUUCAUACAGAUCCGGCUUUUGAAUUCUAUAUCGUACUCGCUUAACUCCACCGCCCAUUUCGCCAAACGUCCGGACUGACUUGGACUAUGAAGAAUUGUUCGGAGUGGUUGGUUGGUUAAUACUUCAACCGGAUGGGAUUGAAAAUAUGGGCGGAGCUUCCGAGCCGAAGUUACCACCGCGAGUGCAAGUUUUUCCAUCAUUGUAUAUCUGGUUUUCGGAUCCGUCAUUGACUUGCUUACGUAGUAGAUUGGUUUUUGCUCCCCACGGUCUUCCCGAACCAAGACUCCACUAACCGCGUGGUUUGAAACCGACAAGUACAAAUAAAGUUUUUCAUCCACUUCCGGUUUGGACAGUAUAGGUGGAGUGGUUAAGUAUGCCUUAAGCUGCCCAAAAGCUUCUUCACACUUCUCAUCCCAAAGGAAUCCUUUGUUCCCUUUUAGAAUUUGGUAGAAAGGUAACGACUUAUCUGUCGAUCUCGAAAUAAAACGAUUCAGAGCCGCAAUACGCCCAGUCAACCGUUGUACUUCUUUGAAGUUUCUUGGAGAUGGCAUGUUUAGAAAGGCGUUAAUUUGAUUUGGAUUGGCUUCAAUCCCUCUUUCUGUCACGAUAUAGCCAAGAAAUUCUCCGGAUGGGACUCCAAAUGUGCACUUCGCCAGAUACCAAAUGAUACGAUCCUCCGGAUGGGACUCCAAAUGUGCACUCCGCUCUGAUACCAAAUGAUACGAUCCUCCCAAGGAUUAUGCACUCUAAGGUGGUGAAAGGGAUAACUUUGCAUCCAAGAGACUGUGAACUCAAAAGGAUCAAAGGUUGUGGAGCGAAUGGUCGCACAAGAGCUGCGGAAGACUCCUGAUUUACCGGUGGAUCGAUUCUUUGGAUAUUACACACCAAAGGAGAUCGAUAACUUGCUGGAUAUGACGCACCAACAAGGAAUGGAUAGAGAGAUGGAUCGAGAGACGCCACAAAGAUCUGUGAAAGGAUCUAUGAUAAGUCUGAACAAGCCAUGAACAUAGAUAUGACACACCAUGAACAUGGAGUUCCAAAAAUUACAAGAUAUCACAUCUUGAAAGAGAGAAACUUCUCUGAUUUUUACUCAACAACAAAACUUACAUUUAUUCAUGAAUUAAGCCUCAUUAUAGAGAGGAGAUACAACAAUUUCGUCCAUAACAUGCAGCACAACUUGGAAAUAGAAAUUCAAACUCUAAAGUGCAUGUAAGAGAGAGAAAAACACUUAAAUAAAUGCUGGUUUGAGGAUGGACGAAAAUCUCUCUUUUCUUCUUGUUUUUGGGCUGAAUCCACUUUGAUGGGCUUCUCUGAUUGACCAAGAUUCCAGAACAAUUUGGUUUGUAGCUUAAUUCAAUCUGGUCUUGUCGGAAUCCUUCUUUGAAUGGGCGUAUGUCUGAAUUCGCGUAAGCUGGAGAUCACCGAUUUUGUAAAUUGCAUAACUCCUUCAUCUGAACUCCGAUUGAUCUGAUUCUUCUUCGAGGAGUUUCGUAAUUGAGCUGAGCACAUUCUCCAACUGGUUUCAUGCAUUAAUUCGCCGUGGUUGAUCAGAUAAUCUUGAUUCAAUGACCACAUAUCCUGCUGCUUCCCAUUAUCAUAUCAUACUCUCCCUCUUGAAAAAGGAUUUGCCCUCAAAUCCGGCUACUGUUCUUCUUCUUUUUUUUUUUUUUCUUUUUUUUUUUUUUUUGAGAAAAAGAAAGGAAUAAAAAUAAAAAAGAAAUAGAAGAUGAAGAGAUGAGGAGAUGAAUGAAAGAAGAUGGAGAGAUGAGAAGAUGAUAGAAUGAUAGAAUGAUAGACCGAGCUUAGAGUGUUGCUCUGAUACCAAAUGAUACGAUCCUCCCAAGGAUUAUGCACUCUAAGGUGGUGAAAGGGAUAACUUUGCAUCCAAGAGACUGUGAACUCAAAAGGAUCAAAGGUUGUGGAGCGAAUGGUCGCACAAGAGCUGCGGAAGACUCCUGAUUUACCGGUGGAUCGAUUCUUUGGAUAUUACACACCAAAGGAGAUCGAUAACUUGCUGGAUAUGACGCACCAACAAGGAAUGGAUAGAGAGAUGGAUCGAGAGACGCCACAAAGAUCUGUGAAAGGAUCUAUGAUAAGUCUGAACAAGCCAUGAACAUAGAUAUGACACACCAUGAACAUGGAGUUCCAAAAAUUACAAGAUAUCACAUCUUGAAAGAGAGAAACUUCUCUGAUUUUUACUCAACAACAAAACUUACUUUUAUUCAUGAAUUAAGCCUCAUUAUAGAGAGGAGAUACAACAAUUUCGUCCAUAACAUGCAGCACAACUUGGAAAUAGAAAUUCAAACUCUAAAGUGCAUGUAAGAGAGAGAAAAACACUUAAAUAAAUGCUGGUUUGAGGAUGGACGAAAAUCUCUCUUUUCUUCUUGUUUUUGGGCUGAAUCCACUUUGAUGGGCUUCUCUGAUUGACCAAGAUUCCAGAACAAUUUGGUUUGUAGCUUAAUUCAAUCUGGUCUUGUCGGAAUCCUUCUUUGAAUGGGCGUAUGUCUGAAUUCGCGUAAGCUGGAGAUCACCGAUUUUGUAAAUUGCAUAACUCCUUCAUCUGAACUCCGAUUGAUCUGAUUCUUCUUCGAGGAGUUUCGUAAUUGAGCUGAGCACAUUCUCCAACUGGUUUCAUGCAUAAAUUCGCCGUGGUUGAUCAGAUAAUCUUGAUUCAAUGACCAUAUAUCCUGCUGCUUCCCAUUAUCAUAUCAUACUCUCCCUCUUGAAAAAGGAUUUGCCCUCAAAUCCGGCUACUGUUCUUCUUCUUUUUUUUUUUUUUCUUUUUUUUUUUUUUUUGAGAAAAAGAAAGGAAUAAAAAUAAAAAAGAAAUAGAAGAUGAAGAGAUGAGGAGAUGAAUGAAAGAAGAUGGAGAGAUGAGAAGAUGAUAGAAUGAUAGAAUGAUAGACCGAGCUUAGAGUGUUGCUCUGAUACCAAAUGAUACGAUCCUCCCAAGGAUUAUGCACUCUAAGGUGGUGAAAGGGAUAACUUUGCAUCCAAGAGACUGUGAACUCAAAAGGAUCAAAGGUUGUGGAGCGAAUGGUCGCACAAGAGCUGCGGAAGACUCCUGAUUUACCGGUGGAUCGAUUCUUUGGAUAUUACACACCAAAGGAGAUCGAUAACUUGCUGGAUAUGACGCACCAACAAGGAAUGGAUAGAGAGAUGGAUCGAGAGACGCCACAAAGAUCUGUGAAAGGAUCUAUGAUAAGUCUGAACAAGCCAUGAACAUAGAUAUGACACACCAUGAACAUGGAGUUCCAAAAAUUACAAGAUAUCACAUCUUGAAAGAGAGAAACUUCUCUGAUUUUUACUCAACAACAAAACUUACUUUUAUUCAUGAAUUAAGCCUCAUUAUAGAGAGGAGAUACAACAAUUUCGUCCAUAACAUGCAGCACAACUUGGAAAUAGAAAUUCAAACUCUAAAGUGCAUGUAAGAGAGAGAAAAACACUUAAAUAAAUGCUGGUUUGAGGAUGGACGAAAAUCUCUCUUUUCUUCUUGUUUUUGGGCUGAAUCCACUUUGAUGGGCUUCUCUGAUUGACCAAGAUUCCAGAACAAUUUGGUUUGUAGCUUAAUUCAAUCUGGUCUUGUCGGAAUCCUUCUUUGAAUGGGCGUAUGUCUGAAUUCGCGUAAGCUGGAGAUCACCGAUUUUGUAAAUUGCAUAACUCCUUCAUCUGAACUCCGAUUGAUCUGAUUCUUCUUCGAGGAGUUUCGUAAUUGAGCUGAGCACAUUCUCCAACUGGUUUCAUGCAUAAAUUCGCCGUGGUUGAUCAGAUAAGCUUGAUUCAAUGACCACAUAUCCUGCUGCUUCCCAUUAUCAUAUUAGUAUAUCUGGUUUCCGGAUCCGUCAUUGACUUGCUUACGUAGUAGAUUGGUUUCUGCUCCCCACGGUCUUCCCGAACCAAGACUCCACUAACCGCGUGGUUUGAAACCGACACGUACAAAUAAAGUUUUUCAUCCACUUCCGGUUUGGACAGUAUAGGUGGAGUGGUUAAGUAUGCCUUAAGCUGCCCAAAAGCUUCUUCACACUUCUCAUCCCAAAGGAAUCCUUUGUUCCCUUUUAGAAUUUGGUAGAAAGGUAACGACUUAUCUGUCGAUCUCGAAAUAAAACGAUUAAGAGCCGCAAUACGCCCAGUCAACCGUUGUACUUCUUUGAAGUUUCUUGGAGAUGGCAUGUUUAGAAAGGCGUUAAUUUGAUUUGGAUUGGCUUCAAUCCCUCUUUCUGUCACGAUAUAGCCAAGAAAUUCUCCGGAUGGGACUCCAAAUGUGCACUUCGCCAGAUACCAAAUGAUACGAUCCUCCGGAUGGGACUCCAAAUGUGCACUCCGCUCUGAUACCAAAUGAUACGAUCCUCCCAAGGAUUAUGCACUCUAAGGUGGUGAAAGGGAUAACUUUGCAUCCAAGAGACUGUGAACUCAAAAGGAUCAAAGGUUGUGGAGCGAAUGGUCGCACAAGAGCUGCGGAAGACUCCUGAUUUACCGGUGGAUCGAUUCUUUGGAUAUUACACACCAAAGGAGAUCGAUAACUUGCUGGAUAUGACGCACCAACAAGGAAUGGAUAGAGAGAUGGAUCGAGAGACGCCACAAAGAUCUGUGAAAGGAUCUAUGAUAAGUCUGAACAAGCCAUGAACAUAGAUAUGACACACCAUGAACAUGGAGUUCCAAAAAUUACAAGAUAUCACAUCUUGAAAGAGAGAAACUUCUCUGAUUUUUACUCAACAACAAAACUUACUUUUAUUCAUGAAUUAAGCCUCAUUAUAGAGAGGAGAUACAACAAUUUCGUCCAUAACAUGCAGCACAACUUGGAAAUAGAAAUUCAAACUCUAAAGUGCAUGUAAGAGAAAGAAAAACACUUAAAUAAAUGCUGGUUUGAGGAUGGACGAAAAUCUCUCUUUUCUUCUUGUUUUUGGGCUGAAUCCACUUUGAUGGGCUUCUCUGAUUGACCAAGAUUCCAGAACAAUUUGGUUUGUAGCUUAAUUCAAUCUGGUCUUGUCGGAAUCCUUCUUUGAAUGGGCGUAUGUCUGAAUUCGCGUAAGCUGGAGAUCACCGAUUUUGUAAAUUGCAUAACUCCUUCAUCUGAACUCCGAUUGAUCUGAUUCUUCUUUGAGGAGUUUCGUAAUUCAGCUGAGAACAUUCUCCAACUGGUUUCAUGCAUAAAUUCGCCGUGGUUGAUCAGAUAAGCUUGAUUCAAUGACCACAUAUCCUGCUGCUUCCCAUUAUCAUAUUAGUAUAUCUGGUUUCCGGAUCCGUCAUUGACUUGCUUACGUAGUAGAUUGGUUUCUGCUCCCCACGGUCUUCCCGAACCAAGACUCCACUAACCGCGUGGUUUGAAACCGACACGUACAAAUAAAGUUUUUCAUCCACUUCCGGUUUGGACAGUAUAGGUGGAGUGGUUAAGUAUGCCUUAAGCUGCCCAAAAGCUUCUUCACACUUCUCAUCCCAAAGGAAUCCUUUGUUCCCUUUUAGAAUUUGGUAGAAAGGUAACGACUUAUCUGUCGAUCUCGAAAUAAAACGAUUAAGAGCCGCAAUACGCCCAGUCAACCGUUGUACUUCUUUGAAGUUUCUUGGAGAUGGCAUGUUUAGAAAGGCGUUAAUUUGAUUUGGAUUGGCUUCAAUCCCUCUUUCUGUCACGAUAUAGCCAAGAAAUUCUCCGGAUGGGACUCCAAAUGUGCACUUCGCCAGAUACCAAAUGAUACGAUCCUCCGGAUGGGACUCCAAAUGUGCACUCCGCUCUGAUACCAAAUGAUACGAUCCUCCCAAGGAUUAUGCACUCUAAGGUGGUGAAAGGGAUAACUUUGCAUCCAAGAGACUGUGAGCUCAAAAGGAUCAAAGGUUGUGGAGCGAAUGGUCGCACAAGAGCUGCGGAAGACUCCUGAUUUACCGGUGGAUCGAUUCUUUGGAUAUUACACACCAAAGGAGAUCGAUAACUUGCUGGAUAUGACGCACCAACAAGGAAUGGAUAGAGAGAUGGAUCGAGAGACGCCACAAAGAUCUGUGAAAGUUUCUAUGAUAAGUCUGAACAAGCCAUGAACAUAGAUAUGACACACCAUGAACAUGGAGUUCCAAAAAUUACAAGAUAUCACAUCUUGAAAGAGAGAAACUUCUCUGAUUUUUACUCAACAACAAAACUUACUUUUAUUCAUGAAUUAAGCCUCAUUAUAGAGAGGAGAUACAACAAUUUCGUCCAUAACAUGCAGCACAACUUGGAAAUAGAAAUUCAAACUCUAAAGUGCAUGUAAGAGAGAGAAAAACACUUAAAUAAAUGCUGGUUUGAGGAUGGACGAAAAUCUCUCUUUUCUUCUUGUUUUUGGGCUGAAUCCACUUUGAUGGGCUUCUCUGAUUGACCAAGAUUCCAGAACAAUUUGGUUUGUAGCUUAAUUCAAUCUGGUCUUGUCGGAAUCCUUCUUUGAAUGGGCGUAUGUCUGAAUUCGCGUAAGCUGGAGAUCACCGAUUUUGUAAAUUGCAUAACUCCUUCAUCUGAACUCCGAUUGAUCUGAUUCUUCUUCGAGGAGUUUCGUAAUUGAGCUGAGCACAUUCUCCAACUGGUUUCAUGCAUAAAUUCGCCGUGGUUGAUCAGAUAAGCUUGAUUCAAUGACCACAUAUCCUGCUGCUUCCCAUUAUCAUAUUAGUAUAUCUGGUUUCCGGAUCCGUCAUUGACUUGCUUACGUAGUAGAUUGGUUUCUGCUCCCCACGGUCUUCCCGAACCAAGACUCCACUAACCGCGUGGUUUGAAACCGACACGUACAAAUAAAGUUUUUCAUCCACUUCCGGUUUGGACAGUAUAGGUGGAGUGGUUAACUAUGCCUUAAGCUGCCCAAAAGCUUCUUCACACUUCUCAUCCCAAAGGAAUCCUUUUUUCCCUUUUAGAAUUUGGUAGAAAGGUAACGACUUAUCUGUCGAUCUCGAAAUAAAACGAUUAAGAGCCGCAAUACGCCCAGUCAACCGUUGUACUUCUUUGAAGUUUCUUGGAGAUGGCAUGUUUAGAAAGGCGUUAAUUUGAUUUGGAUUGGCUUCAAUCCCUCUUUCUGUCACGAUAUAGCCAAGAAAUUCUCCGGAUGGGACUCCAAAUGUGCACUUCGCCAGAUACCAAAUGAUACGAUCCUCCGGAUGGGACUCCAAAUGUGCACUCCGCUCUGAUACCAAAUGAUACGAUCCUCCCAAGGAUUAUGCACUCUAAGGUGGUGAAAGGGAUAACUUUGCAUCCAAGAGACUGUGAGCUCAAAAGGAUCAAAGGUUGUGGAGCGAAUGGUCGCACAAGAGCUGCGGAAGACUCCUGAUUUACCGGUGGAUCGAUUCUUUGGAUAUUACACACCAAAGGAGAUCGAUAACUUGCUGGAUAUGACGCACCAACAAGGAAUGGAUAGAGAGAUGGAUCGAGAGACGCCACAAAGAUCUGUGAAAGGAUCUAUGAUAAGUCUGAACAAGCCAUGAACAUAGAUAUGACACACCAUGAACAUGGAGUUCCAAAAAUUACAAGAUAUCACAUCUUGAAAGAGAGAAACUUCUCUGAUUUUUACUCAACAACAAAACUUACUUUUAUUCAUGAAUUAAGCCUCAUUAUAGAGAGGAGAUACAACAAUUUCGUCCAUAACAUGCAGCACAACUUGGAAAUAGAAAUUCAAACUCUAAAGUGCAUGUAAGAGAGAGAAAAACACUUAAAUAAAUGCUGGUUUGAGGAUGGACGAAAAUCUCUCUUUUCUUCUUGUUUUUGGGCUGAAUCCACUUUGAUGGGCUUCUCUGAUUGACCAAGAUUCCAGAACAAUUUGGUUUGUAGCUUAAUUCAAUAUGGUCUUGUCGGAAUCCUUCUUUGAAUGGGCGUAUGUCUGAAUUCGCGUAAGCUGGAGAUCACCGAUUUUGUAAAUUGCAUAACUCCUUCAUCUGAACUCCGAUUGAUCUGAUUCUUCUUCGAGGAGUUUCGUAAUUCAGCUGAGCACAUUCUCCAACUGGUUUCAUGCAUAAAUUCGCCGUGGUUGAUCAGAUAAGCUUGAUUCAAUGACCACAUAUCCUGCUGCUUCCCAUUAUCAUAUCAUACUCUCCCUCUUGAAAAAGGAUUUGCCCUCAAAUCCGGCUAAGUUUCUUGGAGAUGACAUGUUUAGAAAGGCGUUAAUUUGAUUUGGAUUGGCUUCAAUCCCUCUUUCUGUCACGAUAUAGCCAAGAAAUUCUCCGGAUGGGACUCCAAAUGUGCACUUCGCCAGAUACCAAAUGAUACGAUCCUCCGACCGAGCUUAGAGUGUUGCUCUGAUACCAAAUGAUACGAUCCUCCCAAGGAUUAUGCACUCUAAGGUGGUGAAAGGGAUAACUUUGCAUCCAAGAGACUGUGAACUCAAAAGGAUCAAAGGUUGUGGAGCGAAUGGUCGCACAAGAGCUGCGGAAGACUCCUGAUUUACCGGUGGAUCGAUUCUUUGGAUAUUACACACCAAAGGAGAUCGAUAACUUGCUGGAUAUGACGCACCAACAAGGAAUGGAUAGAGAGAUGGAUCGAGAGAUGCCACAAAGAUCUGUGAAAGGAUCUAUGAUAAGUCUGAACAAGCCAUGAACAUAGAUAUGACACACCAUGAACAUGGAGUUCCAAAAAUUACAAGAUAUCACAUCUUGAAAGAGAGAAACUUCUCUGAUUUUUACUCAACAACAAAACUUACUUUUAUUCAUGAAUUAAGCCUCAUUAUAGAGAGGAGAUACAACAAUUUCGUCCAUAACAUGCAGCACAACUUGGAAAUAGAAAUUCAAACUCUAAAGUGCAUGUAAGAGAGAGAAAAACACUUAAAUAAAUGCUGGUUUGAGGAUGGACGAAAAUCUCUCUUUUCUUCUUGUUUUUGGGCUGAAUCCACUUUGAUGGGCUUCUCUGAUUGACCAAGAUUCCAGAACAAUUUGGUUUGUAGCUUAAUUCAAUCUGGUCUUGUCGGAAUCCUUCUUUGAAUGGGCGUAUGUCUGAAUUCGCGUAAGCUGGAGAUCACCGAUUUUGUAAAUUGCAUAACUCCUUCAUCUGAACUCCGAUUGAUCUGAUUCUUCUUUGAGGAGUUUCGUAAUUCAGCUGAGAACAUUCUCCAACUGGUUUCAUGCAUAAAUUCUCCGUGGUUGAUCAGAUAAGCUUGAUUCAAUGACCACAUAUCCUGCUGCUUCCCAUUAUCAUAUUAGUAUAUCUGGUUUCCGGAUCCGUCAUUGACUUGCUUACGUAGUAGAUUGGUUUCUGCUCCCCACGGUCUUCCCGAACCAAGACUCCACUAACCGCGUGGUUUGAAACCGACACGUACAAAUAAAGUUUUUCAUCCACUUCCGGUUUGGACAGUAUAGGUGGAGUGGUUAAGUAUGCCUUAAGCUGCCCAAAAGCUUCUUCACACUUCUGAGUGUUGCUCUGAUACCAAAUGAUACGAUCCUCCCAAGGAUUAUGCACUCUAAGGUGGUGAAAGGGAUAACUUUGCAUCCAAGAGACUGUGAGCUCAAAAGGAUCAAAGGUUGUGGAGCGAAUGGUCGCACAAGAGCUGCGGAAGACUCCUGAUUUACCGGUGGAUCGAUUCUUUGGAUAUUACACACCAAAGGAGAUCGAUAACUUGCUGGAUAUGACGCACCAACAAGGAAUGGAUAGAGAGAUGGAUCGAGAGACGCCACAAAGAUCUGUGAAAGGAUCUAUGAUAAGUCUGAACAAGCCAUGAACAUAGAUAUGACACACCAUGAACAUGGAGUUCCAAAAAUUACAAGAUAUCACAUCUUGAAAGAGAGAAACUUCUCUGAUUUUUACUCAACAACAAAACUUACUUUUAUUCAUGAAUUAAGCCUCAUUAUAGAGAGGAGAUACAACAAUUUCGUCCAUAACAUGCAGCACAACUUGGAAAUAGAAAUUCAAACUCUAAAGUGCAUGUAAGAGAGAGAAAAACACUUAAAUAAAUGCUGGUUUGAGGAUGGACGAAAAUCUCUCUUUUCUUCUUGUUUUUGGGCUGAAUCCACUUUGAUGGGCUUCUCUGAUUGACCAAGAUUCCAGAACAAUUUGGUUUGUAGCUUAAUUCAAUCUGGUCUUGUCGGAAUCCUUCUUUGAAUGGGCGUAUGUCUGAAUUCGCGUAAGCUGGAGAUCACCGAUUUUGUAAAUUGCAUAACUCCUUCAUCUGAACUCCGAUUGAUCUGAUUCUUCUUCGAGGAGUUUCGUAAUUGAGCUGAGCACAUUCUCCAACUGGUUUCAUGCAUAAAUUCGCCGUGGUUGAUCAGAUAAGCUUGAUUCAAUGACCACAUAUCCUGCUGCUUCCCAUUAUCAUAUUAGUAUAUCUGGUUUCCGGAUCCGUCAUUGACUUGCUUACGUAGUAGAUUGGUUUCUGCUCCCCACGGUCUUCCCGAACCAAGACUCCACUAACCGCGUGGUUUGAAACCGACACGUACAAAUAAAGUUUUUCAUCCACUUCCGGUUUGGACAGUAUAGGUGGAGUGGUUAAGUAUGCCUUAAGCUGCCCAAAAGCUUCUUCACACUUCUCAUCCCAAAGGAAUCCUUUGUUCCCUUUUAGAAUUUGGUAGAAAGGUAACGACUUAUCUGUCGAUCUCGAAAUAAAACGAUUAAGAGCCGCAAUACGCCCAGUCAACCGUUGUACUUCUUUGAAGUUUCUUGGAGAUGGCAUGUUUAGAAAGGCGUUAAUUUGAUUUGGAUUGGCUUCAAUCCCUCUUUCUGUCACGAUAUAGCCAAGAAAUUCUCCGGAUGGGACUCCAAAUGUGCACUUCGCCAGAUACCAAAUGAUACGAUCCUCCGGAUGGGACUCCAAAUGUGCACUCCGCUCUGAUACCAAAUGAUACGAUCCUCCCAAGGAUUAUGCACUCUAAGGUGGUGAAAGGGAUAACUUUGCAUCCAAGAGACUGUGAACUCAAAAGGAUCAAAGGUUGUGGAGCGAAUGGUCGCACAAGAGCUGCGGAAGACUCCUGAUUUACCGGUGGAUCGAUUCUUUGGAUAUUACACACCAAAGGAGAUCGAUAACUUGCUGGAUAUGACGCACCAACAAGGAAUGGAUAGAGAGAUGGAUCGAGAGACGCCACAAAGAUCUGUGAAAGGAUCUAUGAUAAGUCUGAACAAGCCAUGAACAUAGAUAUGACACACCAUGAACAUGGAGUUCCAAAAAUUACAAGAUAUCACAUCUUGAAAGAGAGAAACUUCUCUGAUUUUUACUCAACAACAAAACUUACUUUUAUUCAUGAAUUAAGCCUCAUUAUAGAGAGGAGAUACAACAAUUUCGUCCAUAACAUGCAGCACAACUUGGAAAUAGAAAUUCAAACUCUAAAGUGCAUGUAAGAGAGAGAAAAACACUUAAAUAAAUGCUGGUUUGAGGAUGGACGAAAAUCUCUCUUUUCUUCUUGUUUUUGGGCUGAAUCCACUUUGAUGGGCUUCUCUGAUUGACCAAGAUUCCAGAACAAUUUGGUUUGUAGCUUAAUUCAAUCUGGUCUUGUCGGAAUCCUUCUUUGAAUGGGCGUAUGUCUGAAUUCGCGUAAGCUGGAGAUCACCGAUUUUGUAAAUUGCAUAACUCCUUCAUCUGAACUCCGAUUGAUCUGAUUCUUCUUUGAGGAGUUUCGUAAUUCAGCUGAGAACAUUCUCCAACUGGUUUCAUGCAUAAAUUCGCCGUGGUUGAUCAGAUAAGCUUGAUUCAAUGACCACAUAUCCUGCUGCUUCCCAUUAUCAUAUCAUACUCUCCCUCUUGAAAAAGGAUUUGCCCUCAAAUCCGGCUACUGUUCUUCUUCUUUCUUUUUUUUUUCUUUUUUUUUUUUUUUUGAGAAAAAAGAAAGGAAUAAAAAUAAAAAAGAAAUAGAAGAUGAAGAGAUGAGGAGAUGAAUGAAAGAAGAUGGAGAGAUGAGAAGAUGAUAGAAUGAUAGAAUGAUAGACCGAGCUUAGAGUGUUGCUCUGAUACCAAAUGAUACGAUCCUCCCAAGGAUUAUGCACUCUAAGGUGGUGAAAGGGAUAACUUUGCAUCCAAGAGACUGUGAACUCAAAAGGAUCAAAGGUUGUUGAGCGAAUGGUCGCACAAGAGCUGCGGAAGACUCCUGAUUUACCGGUGGAUCGAUUCUUUGGAUAUUACACACCAAAGGAGAUCGAUAACUUGCUGGAUAUGACGCACCAACAAGGAAUGGAUAGAGAGAUGGAUCGAGAGACGCCACAAAGAUCUGUGAAAGGAUCUAUGAUAAGUCUGAACAAGCCAUGAACAUAGAUAUGACACACCAUGAACAUGGAGUUCCAAAAAUUACAAGAUAUCACAUCUUGAAAGAGAGAAACUUCUCUGAUUUUUACUCAACAACAAAACUUACUUUUAUUCAUGAAUUAAGCCUCAUUAUAUAGAGGAGAUACAACAAUUUCGUCCAUAACAUGCAGCACAACUUGGAAAUAGAAAUUCAAACUCUAAAGUGCAUGUAAGAGAGAGAAAAACACUUAAAUAAAUGCUGGUUUGAGGAUGGACGAAAAUCUCUCUUUUCUUCUUGUUUUUGGGCUGAAUCCACUUUGAUGGGCUUCUCUGAUUGACCAAGAUUCCAGAACAAUUUGGUUUGUAGCUUAAUUCAAUCUGGUCUUGUCGGAAUCCUUCUUUGAAUGGGCGUAUGUCUGAAUUCGCGUAAGCUGGAGAUCACCGAUUUUGUAAAUUGCAUAACUCCUUCAUCUGAACUCCGAUUGAUCUGAUUCUUCUUCGAGGAGUUUCGUAAUUCAGCUGAGCACAUUCUCCAACUGGUUUCAUGCAUAAAUUCGCCGUGGUUGAUCAGAUAAGCUUGAUUCAAUGACCACAUAUCCUGCUGCUUCCCAUUAUCAUAUUAGUAUAUCUGGUUUCCGGAUCCGUCAUUGACUUGCUUACGUAGUAGAUUGGUUUCUGCUCCCCACGGUCUUCCCGAACCAAGACUCCACUAACCGCGUGGUUUGAAACCGACACGUACAAAUAAAGUUUUUCAUCCACUUCCGGUUUGGACAGUAUAGGUGGAGUGGUUAAGUAUGCCUUAAGCUGCCCAAAAGCUUCUUCACACUUCUCAUCCCAAAGGAAUCCUUUGUUCCCUUUUAGAAUUUGGUAGAAAGGUAACGACUUAUCUGUCGAUCUCGAAAUAAAACGAUUAAGAGCCGCAAUACGCCCAGUCAACCGUUGUACUUCUUUGAAGUUUCUUGGAGAUGGCAUGUUUAGAAAGGCGUUAAUUUGAUUUGGAUUGGCUUCAAUCCCUCUUUCUGUCACGAUAUAGCCAAGAAAUUCUCCGGAUGGGACUCCAAAUGUGCACUUCGCCAGAUACCAAAUGAUACGAUCCUCCGGAUGGGACUCCAAAUGUGCACUCCGCUCUGAUACCAAAUGAUACGAUCCUCCAACAUAUCAUCUAUGUAGACUUCCAUUGUUCUCCCGAGAUGAUUAUGGAACAUUUUGUUAACCAACCGUUGAUAAGUUGCUCCUGCAUUUUCAAACCAAAAGGCAUUACCUUGUAACAAUAGAUACCCCUAUCAGUGAUAAAUGACGUUUUUUCUUGGUCUUCGGGGUUCAUCAUUAUUUGAUUAUAACCCGAGAAGGCGUCCAUGAAUGUUAACAGCUCGUUCCCAGCGGUGGACUCUACAAGUCGAUCUAUAUGUGGGAGCGGGAAACUGUCUUUGGGACAUGCUUUAUUGAGGUCUGUGAAGUCGAUGCAAACCCUAUCUUUCCCAUUCUUCUUCUUGACAACGAUAGUGUUUGCUAUCCAUUCCGGAUAUUGCACUUCUCUUAUGGACCCUAUCUUCAAAAGUUUAUCCACUUCGUCAUUUACUAUUUUUGCUCGUUCCACUCCAAGCUUUCUUCUUUUUUGUUUCACCGGUUUGAAGCUUGGAUCCACAUUUAGUUCAUGACAAAUUAUACUUGGAUUUAUGCCAGGCAUGUCCGCUGCUGACCAUGCAAACGAUGUUUUGUUUUUCCUUAAGAGUUCAAUCAAAGCUUCUUUUAUUUGGCCAGUCAAAGUUGCCCCAAUUCGAAUUUUCCGGUCCGGCUUGUCUUCUUCCAACACCACUUCGAUUACUACAUCGUCUUUCUUCUGCCCGCUAGGAAAUUUUGUUCUUAGUCCCUCUUUUGCGGGCUUCGUUAAUUGCUAUUGAAUCUUCAUACGGUGGCUAGCUAGAUAACACGUCCAUGAAGCUUCUUGAUCUCCCCGAAUUGUUUCCACUCCUCUUGAUGUUGGAAAUUUGAUACAUUGAUGAUAUGUAGAGGGGACUGCUUUCAUUUGAUAAAUCCAGGGAGUCCCGAGGAUGAUGUUGUAAGCUGCGGGCUUAUCGAAGACAACGAAGUCCACGAUCUUCGAUACCUUUUUGGCAAGGACCGGUAGCUUGAUUGUCCCGAGAGACAUGGCUGACUCACUUGUGAAUGCAACUAAUGGGGACGGAGGCCCCACUAUGUCCGCCCGACUAAUUCCCAUUCUUUCUAAAGUACUUAAAAAGAUCAAAUCGACCGAACUGCCUGUAUCUAUAAGGAUCCUUGAUACUUCGAAGUUGGCAACAUCAAGGGUAAUGACUAGAGCAUCAUCAUGAGGUCUUUCGAGGUACCGCGUUUCUUCUUCAUUAAAUGAUAUUGAUGCACCUUGAAAAUCGACUUCUUCGUUUAAGCUUGCUUUGAGUAGGACAUUUCGUCUAUGUUUCUUGAUGGAACUUAUCGAAUCUCCGCAAAAUUUGGAACCUCCUAGAAUAACAUUGAUCUUACCCUUAGAAUUCCUUGGUUCUUCCUCGUUGGUUAACCUUGGUCUUUUGGAAUUUUGAUCUUUGGAACUUUCCUUUGCUUCGUGGUAUUCCUUCACAAAAUCUUUUAUAUCGAAUUUGGAAAGAUCUCCACUGGCCCAAAGCUCUGCGAGGUGCCUUUUAAGAACGCUACAAUCCUUGGUUAAAUGUCCGGUUACUUUAUGAAUGUCGCAAUAUAGACUUUCAUCACGGACCCAAGUGUUUGAUCUUCCUUUCCCUUGGAAUUGCUUUCCGACGGUACUGUUGAAGGGUUGCGAUCCAAAUUUCUUUGGUCCUUUGUUCUCCCUGGGUUCGAACUUUUUGGUAGGGACGGUGAUUGCCGGCUUCUCUUGCUUAUUUCUUUUGGCAAAACUUUCUUUUUCGUCUUCUACCUCCAUCCAGUUGUUUGCGCGGAAGAGUGCAUCCUGGAUUGUGUCUGGUUUAUGAAGUAUUAAAUCUUCUUUAAAUCUUGAAUCAUGUCGCAAUCCUUUUCGUAAGGUAGAUAAAGCUGAUUGUUGUGAGAUUCUUGGGAGCUUUGACAGCACUCCUUUGAACUUGGUGAUGAAAACUCGAAGUGAUUCAUUUGAUCCUUGCGAUAAGUUCCAAAGAUCGGCAUCCGAAACGCUUUUAUCCAUAAGGAUGGAAUAUUGCUUUAAGAAUACAGCUGAUAGCUCGUCGAAAUUGCUGAUCGAACCCGGUUCUAAUUGGGUGAACCACAUUAAAACUUGGCCGCAUAGAUUUUCCGAAAAAAGCUUGCAGUAACCUGCAUCCUCAUCAGCUUCAUCCAAUUCGACUCUUCCAGCAGCGAUCAGAAAAGCUGCGAGAUAACUCUUUGGAUCUUCCAACCCGCUGUAAGGGUCCAACUUGAGUUUUCGGGAAUCUUUGAUUCUCAAACUCGCGAUUCGCGAGAUGAAAGGUGUUCGCCUAGCUUCUUCAAUGACUCGAUUGAUGUCUGGCUCCGAACUCGUAGCUUGAUGGAACUUUGACUUCAUUUCUUUUAGUUCUUGGCUAACCUUCCUCAUAGUCUCGAACUGGUCGAGGUUUUCUUGCUCGUAUUGAUCUGCAAGUUGAACUUCAUCUUCGAGCUGUGCCUCUCCAUCCGAUGGUUGAACUACAUUAUUAGUAGCACCAGGAGUUGUUUGUCCGCUGGUUUCAUUUCGCGCAACGGAACUUGGCGAGUUGAGUAUCCUCCUUCGGAUUCCCACAGGAUUUCCUGCACUUAAAGAGCGAACACGAGUUUGUAUAGUAUUGACGUUUUGACUAAGAGAUACCGGGGACGUUUGCAACGUAUCGUCGGCCUUUUCCACAUCCGAGAACUUUUGUGAUAUGUCCGACAUGGUUUGCUGCAUAGCUUUGAGGGUUUCGGCCAAUGAUGUCUCAACGGCGUCUCCUCCGGACAUUGUUGCUUAUCUCGGAAACGUAGUAACGAAAAAAUCUGACCACUCAAGAAUCCUCUGUCCCCACAGACGGCGCCAAAAUGUGGAUGUCGGAUUCACACACUCAAGUAUUUUUAUUAAGUAGGAAAGAUUACUCUUGAGGGACAAAAACGAAUAUGUAAAAACUUAUGAAUUGCUACGAAAAUUGCUAUAGUAUUUCUUUCUCUAGAGGAAGAUCUCCCUUUUACAUGGCCAUUGACCUUUAUAUUUAUACAUAGAGAAACGACAUUAAAAUGAAUAAUUAAGUACAAUUAUUCCCUCUUAAAUGUAUCCGUUUUGAUCUUUGACUUUAAUGCUCAACGUUUGAAUUUGAGUUGACUCCGAUCUUUAUGGGCAUCGCCUUUUGGCCCAAAUGUCCUUAGGACCGACUUAACCAUGACUUCGUCUCCGGACUCGUGUCGAGGUGUAGUCACUUCGGACUCUCUUCACGUUGACAACCACUCCGACUGUUCUUUUGACUUGUGGGUCUAGUGGGCUUUAUCCUUUAUGGGUCGUUAUCCUGUCUACGUGGCAAUCUUUGGUUGGUCUCGGACUUCUGGUGCGGGAUCCGACACCAACACUUGAGACUCUCAGCUAGUUGGCUGUCCCAUCUCUCUUCGCUCCUAUCCCUUGAGGUUCUCUUCUCAUCAUCUUCCUUUUCUUUUGCCCAACUAGGGAUUUUCACUGCACCACCUCUAUCUGUUUCGCUGUCUUCUCCCUCAGACAAUUUUUUCUGCGAAAAGCUAACAGGAACACUUCCUUGUAUAUGGACAUGACCAUUUUGGACAAAUGGUUCAAAGUUGGAGUUGAAAAGAAAACGACUGUUAGAUGUAAGAGAAGCAAAAACUUCAGCUCGUCCAAGGUCUAUACCACCAACAGCACCAUCCAAUAAUCUAACUUGUACAUCACAUUCUGGUUUUUCAAGACUCCCUCUAAGAUCCCCUUCCAUGUGCAAAAUGCCUUUGAUUGGUGACAAGAGUUUCCUCAAAGAGUGAACAAGAUCAGUAGCUGAUGAUUCAACAACCUCAACCAAGGUAGGUAUCAAACUAACAGGGAAAUUCAGAACAGCAAAAUGAAGAUUGGUUUUUGGCCCCAAUAAGGUCCCAUCUGCAUGCAGUGUAGCGUUUCCUUUUUGAAUAAGCAUCUCCUUAAGACGUAAACCAUCAUCAUUGCUAUACGAACCAGUAGCCAGAACACGCUGUGUUUUGUAAGUCCCCCACUCCCAAUCAUCUCCAUGGAAGUCAAAUUCUGCCUGAUAUUAGAUGUAAGAGGAAAACGUUUAAACAAGACAUCACUAGAAAUUCUCACGUAAUUAUACCACUCAUAAAAAGACUUUUUUAAGACAAUUGCACCCGUCACCUUGGACAAGAAAACUUACGAAAACCAAUUUGGAGUCCUUAACCCUUUAAUUUUAAAAACGAGAUGACAGAGUUAUUUAUAUACCAAAGUGUCUCCAUUGCCUCCACCACUAGCAUCAAGCGAACCAUGCCAAUGACCUUUGAGCUCAGCUAAACCUGGAAGACUUAGAUCUUCAGGAACGACUUCACUUGGUGGAGUAUAAUACCCACGUAUCUCCUGAUUUUAAGGAACCAUAAAAUUCAGCAUAGGAAAAAAACUAAAGGCGACUUAAUGGUACCUACUCUGUUUUUUUUGUUUGUAUUAUAGAAUCUGCUUUCUGUGUCAGAAGCCUGUUAGCUACUUCGAAUGAAGGAAAGGCAUAAUAUUUGGUGCAUUACCUCGAGCAAGUCUCGAAGAUUUUCAGCUUGCAGACAGAGAUUUUGUUGAUGUAUUCUUAAUGAGUUUUAUAUCAAGAUGAAGAGAAACAGAAAGCGACAUUUAUAGAAGGCGAAGAGUGAAGAUGAAGCUGCUGAAGUAGUCGUUGAACUAGUUCAGAGUAGUACAAGAAGUAGUUCAACAGAAUAGAAUUACGUGAAGCAAGUAUUUGGAAAUUGGUAAAGUCGGUCUAUGGCGGUUGGCUGUGGAUACUAGAAGCUUGGAGAAGAUUCUAGAAGACUGAAGAGUUUCCUUUUCAUAGGAAGAAAUGGAAACAUGAAGAGAAAGGACAAUUUCCUUAUCCUUAAGAAAAAGGAAAUUGUCUAUUCCUAUUAGUGUUAGAAUAGGAAAUCGGCUUGUUGUAUAGCCACGACCUAUUUAGUAUAAAUAGGGGGCUUAGGCUUUAGAAAAGGAGAGCACAAGAGAGAAAGAGAAUUCUUAGACAUUAAGGUUAUGGGGUUUCUUGUGAGAAAGCAUAAUGCUUAAGAGGGCUAAGGGAUUUGUCUUUAGAGAGUUCUAGAUCGGGUUGUGAUCUAAGAACGAGAGAUUGAGAGAAUAGAAAAUAGUUUAAGGAAGACCUUGUAAACGUAUUUUCUAUUAAUCAAAAGAGUUUUAAGAAGAAAUUCUUGUCUCAGCUUGUGACUCAGUUCCUGACUCAGUUUCUGUCUUAUAUCGUGAGCUAGUUCUCAAGUACUUAAUAGCUCUUGCACUUUCAAUUGGUAUCAGAGCGGUCACUUGUGAGGAUUGCAUACAGGUGAGAUCUUGUGGAGAAGAUGGAGAGUUAUCAUGGACUUGACAUCGGAUCAAGAGUAAUAUUGAAUGAUGGAAACUAUGGUUUUUGGAAAUCAAGGAUGAAGGCGGUUAUAAGAGGCAUUGAUGUCUAUGCUUGGAAAGCCAUAUUGGAAAAGUGGGAAGAACCAAAAAUCAAGGAUGAAUCAGGAGCCGAGGUUGCUAAACCGGAGAAGGACUGGACUAAUGAUGAAUUGAAAAAAUCAAAGUACAACGCAAAGGCACUCACCGCUAUUCACAUUAAUGUUGGAAGAAACCAGUUCGAACUAAUUCAGGGAUGUGAAACAGCAAAAGAAGCUUGGGAUAUCUUGCAAAAUCACUUUGAAGGAACCACAAAGGUGAAGAACUCAAGGAAAGACAUGUUGGCCUCAAGAUUCGAAAAUCUGAAGAUGGAAGAACGUGAUUCAAUUUCUGAUUUUAGUUCAAAGAUAAGUUCUCUAGCUCAAGAAGCAUUGACACUUGGAAAGAAGUACAAAGAUAAGAAACUAGUCAAGAAGUUUCUACGAUGUUUACCUUCAAGAUUCAUGGCAUACAAAACUGCCUUAAGUGUGUCACAUAACACGGAAGACCUUAGCUUUGGAGAUGUGGUCGGAAUGCUUCAAGCUCAUGAGAUGGAACUAGAGGGUGUGAAGAAAGUGAAAAAUCCAAAGGAUUUGGCAUUAACUUCUCUUGAAAAGAAAACUCAAAAGGCAGAAGAAGAUGAUCCUAAAAGUUUGUUGUUUCAAAGACUUGAUCAACUAUUAAGGAAGGUUGAAGAAGAACAAGGACAGAGGAGGUUCAGCUCAAGCAAAAAAUAUCCAGAAGAAGGUAAAAUUAUUAAGAAGGCAAAUAUGCAAUGUCAUGAGUGCUUAGGGUAUGGACACUUCAAAUAUGAAUGUCCUACAUUCAAGAAAAAGGAUGUAAAGUGUUUUGGGUGCAAAGGUAUUGGACAUACUCAGCAUGAAUGUGUUAGUAAUCAGAAAAUAAGAAAAGAAAAAUCAAUACAGAGAAUAGACGAUGAUUCAGAGGAAGAAAGUGAUGUUGAAGAAGAAGUAAAUCAUUUUGUUACACUUUUGGGAAAAGCUGAAUUUGAAGGUGGUAAAGAAGUGUUAGGGUCUGAGUCUGAAGAAGAACAUGAAGUUGACUUUGCUGAAUGUUAUAAGGAGGUACAUGAGACACUGAUUAAGAUUGGACAAGAAACUCAAGCCUUAGUAAAAGAAAAGCGUCGUCUUGACGAACUUGUUGAGUUACUACAGAAUGAACUGAGGGAUAAAACAAAAAUCUGUCAAGAAAGUAUGAAGGGCAAGCUGACUGUUUCUACAAGAGUAGGAAAAUCUAACAGAGGUUUGGGAUAUACUGGACAAAAAGGAUCUCAAACAGGGCAAAUCAUGUUUGUAGCUGAAAGUGUCUCUCCACCAAAUCCAAACAAAUAUGAAAGUAAUGCAUCCAAAGGAACUGGAUGUUAUUUUUGUGGAAAGAAUGGGCACAUUAAAGCAUAUUGCUACAGAUUCAGAGACAGAAUAAGUAGACUCAAACAUCAAGGGAAAUUUUCCUGGAAUGGAUUCCGAAGUCAAAUAUGGGUGAAGAAAUCUGAUCUUUAUCAGAUUACAUCAGAACAUACGUCAGGAAGGAUAGAAAGUAAGUCUGGAAAAUCAAGAAGUACGUCAAGAAGUGGAUAUUCUCGUAAUAUGACUGCAACUGCUACAGAGACUGCAACUGCUACAGAAACUGCAACUGCUACAGAAACUGCAACUGCAGCAGAACCUGCAACAGAACCUACAGCAGAACCUGCAACAGAACCUGCAGUAGAACCUGCAACAGUACCUGCAUUAAAACCUGCAGUAGAACUUACAUUAAAACCUGCAGCAGAACCUGCAUCAGAACGUGCACCAGAACCUCCAACUGUAUCAGAACUUGCAUCAGAAAGCUGCAACGAGGUAGAGAGUGUCAAGUACAAGAUGUUAUAUGAUCAAUGGCUUAACCUAGUUGAGGAGAAUUCAGUGUUAACAAGGGAAAAACUCAAGAUGGAGGCAAAGGUGGCUGAAACACAAAAAUAUGCAAUAAAGAUGGAAGAAGAAGCAUCACAAGCUAGAGUGCAACUUGAAGAAACUCACAAGAAUUUGAGGAUGCUUAAUAAUGGCACUAAGCAGUUGGAUCAUAUUCUAAACAUUGGCAAAACUGAUCGAUAUGGUCUUGGAUUUAAAGGAAAUCUUUCAAAAUCAGAUACAAUGUUUAUCUCUGGUGGUUAUUAGAGAGAGCUACAUCAAUGAGGAGAAGAAAGAAGAAGAGAAGAUAUGAUAUGCAUCAUCAAGGACAAAGUAUGAAAUUUCCGGAUUAGUGAAGCAGAAAAACAGUUUCAAGAUGCCUAAUUCAAGGUAACGUUUGGAGAUCUAAAAGUAUUCUGAUCGAGCUGAAACUUGGUGGCAAGCUUCUUGGUACUACUGUCUUAAAAAUCAACGGUGGGAUUGAGUUUUUGACGGUGGGUUUGGGUUUUAUUCAACCUAUUUUGGACAGAAGUCAUAUGAAGUUUCAGAUUUGACCAACUUGACAUUUGAAGUAGUUCAGCUGGGAUUCAUGUGUGUGUCAACCUAUGAAAGUGUUUUUAACUUGUGUGUGCUCACAAGCAGGGGGAGAAGAAUUUGGCUAAGAGAAAGAUGUUGUUUUAUGGGGGAGUUUUCAUAAGAUGGCAUAUGAUUAAGGAGAAGUUUUGAAGAUGGUUUUGCUUGUUCUUUGCUAGAACCCUAUGUGGCUUGUGUGUAGCUUUAUGGGUCUGCUUUACAGAUGCUUGUGAGACACACAAAGUUAAUAAGGGGGAGAUUAUUGAUGCAGCCAGUUGACACACUCGAUGUACCGGUGACAAAGUAGCACAUGAAGUGAUAUAACGAAGCAUGAUGUUUUAUCUCAACAUUAAGUAUGUGCUUUGGUUCUAAAACUCAGUCAUCAAGGGGGAGAUUGUUGGUGUUGUGAAGACCGAGUUUUAGAAGUUGCUGAGAUCUUUGUUUCAAGGUUGAGAGAGAGUUUGGAGAUCAUCAAAGUAAUAAUUGAAGUUAAUGAUGUGUGAAGCUUGGAUUAUAAAACUCACUAAGAAAGGGAGAGAUUGUUGAUGUAUUCUUAAUGAGUUUUAUAUCAAGAUGAAGAGAAACAGAAAGCGACAUUUAUUGAAGGCGAAGAGUGAAGAUGAAGCUGCUGAAGUAGUCGUUGAACUAGUUCAGAGUAGUACAAGAAGUAGUUCAACAGAAUAGAAUUACGUGAAGCAAGUAUUUGGAAAUUGGUAAAGUCGGUCUAUGGCGGUUGGCUGUGGAUACUAGAAGCUUGGAGAAGAUUCUAAAAGACUGAAGAGUUUCCUUUUCAUAGGAAGAAAUGGAAACAUGAAGAGAAAGGACAAUUUCCUUAUCCUUAAGAAAAAGGAAAUUGUCUAUUCCUAUUAGUGUUAGAAUAGGAAAUCGGCUUGUUGUAUAGCCACGACCUAUUUAGUAUAAAUAGGGGGCUUAGGCUUUAGAAAAGGAGAGCACAAGAGAGAAAGAGAAUUCUUAGACAUUAAGGUUAUGGGGUUUCUUGUGAGAAAGCAUAAUGCUUAAGAGGGCUAAGGGAUUUGUCUUGAGAGAGUUCUAGAUCGGGUUGUGAUCUAAGAACGAGAGAUUGAGAGAAUAGAAAAUAGUUUAAGGAAGACCUUGUAAACGUAUUUUCUAUUAAUCAAAAGAGUUUUAAGAAGAAAUUCUUGUCUCAGCUUGUGACUCAGUUCCUGACUCAGUUUCUGUCUUAUAUCGUGAGCUAGUUCUCAAGUACUUAAUAGCUCUUGCACUUUCAGAUUUUGCACGCUUUGAAUGAAAAGAUCCUGCAAUACCAACCAAGAAACCCAAACAUCAGAGGCAUCCAGCUCAAAGAGGAGAUGAGAACAUAUUUUUGGAGUACACGAACAUGAAAAUGCUCUUGCAGGUUGUGUUUUUCUUGAACCAACAUUUUAGAACAUGGCUACUCACAAUAUAAGCAUGUGAUUUAGCAAUAACAUAAGCCAACCUUUGAUCUUGAGUGAACAGCUGGAUCUGUACUUCUUGAAAGAAGCCUUGCAAGAGGAAGCAUCUCAGCAACCUCUGCCUUAGGCACUUCAAGUCUCAUUCUCCAUCUACCCAUGGAGGAUAUAACACUUCCUAGAUGACCAGUCAUGGCUCUCAUAAAAAAACUGCCAGCUUCCUUCUGACCAAGGUCUCUGUCACGGGAACCCGGCAAUACAUAUUCACCUUGAAGCUCAUACCGGCUAUUGCUUUGUUCCAGAAUAGUUUUCUCAACAGUGAUCUCCAGGAAGAAAAAUGAAAAGGAUAAGCAGAGAUACCAUCAUGCAUAUUCUCAUAUUGACUUCACUGCUAAACAUACUUAUCGAUUAUUCAUUGUUUAAUCUCACCAUAACCUCUAAUCCUCUGGACUACAUGAAACUCUUAAAACAAGGUAAUAAAACAUAGAAAUGAAACAGGCUUGAUUUAUAUGGUGGCAAAUGAUGUACUAUGAAAUGUGAUGAAACUAGACAACAGCGAGAUCACUCUCUAGAUUUCUUAGAAAACUAAACCAAACGAACAGGAACCUAGAACUCCACUAAUUUUUGGCCGAAAUACAUACCACGUCACCGCUCCAUCUGACUGCAACAUCUAAAGCUUCACCUAGAACUCCACUAAAUUUUGGCCGAAUUACAGACAACAGGCCAUGUCCUCUUCGCUUCUGAAGAUUUAGUUGAAUCUCUGCCUGCAAGUAAUAUGGAAAGUAAGAUAUUAUUGAUAAUUUUAUAAAGAGAGCACUCCCCUGUAGCUUCUGAAAAGCUGAUUUUCUAAGUUAUAAGCUUCUGAGAAAUAUUAAACCACAUUAGAACUUCCAGUUUCAUUAUUCUGCUACAACUAACACAUAAUACUUGCAGGUUGUCAUCUUAAGAACGUUUUAUUAAGUCUUCAUUGACACUGAACAUGCAAGAAAAUAUCCUGAACACACUGAAGCUGAUAAUACUGACAAUAAACUGCUCUAUUUGAGACGUGGAGAAGUUGGCAGAUUUCAUAGAGUGUGAGCCCCGGAAGGAUUAUUCCGAUUGGCUAAAAGGGAGAGAACGGUUUCGUAGUCAAAAGUGGAAGUCGGAGAAGAUUGCCCUCCAAAGGUGGAAUAAGAAGCAAAAAGCUUGGAGAGUGAACAAAAGAAAGAAUGUUUAAAAGCUGACUAAGUGAGUGAAUAUAAUCUUUCGGGUAGUCUAAAGAGUUGCUCACACUUGGAUUCAGUGCAUCUUGGAUUAGCCAAAAGUUCGAAGCGUUCAGUGCGUUUGAAACGCAUAUAAUUAAACUUUACGGAGGCUGCAUAAAUUCAUCUAACAGAACUUGUCUCACAGUUUUUUUUAGCUUCACAAUUCAAAGAAAAACAAACAUUCGAGGACUUAGUUCGCAAUCUUAAUUUGGUAAUUGCAAUUGCAAAAAGCAAAAAUAUCCAACAGUUAACCCGAACAGAACCAAAGUAGAUUUACUGUGAAUGAGACCAAAGCAUUUAAAGACGAUAGCUAAGUCGCAAGGCCAUUAGAGCCAUUGUAGCAUCGCGAUUAUAGGCCCCAUCCCCACGACGUAUACCCGUGGUGGCAUACGACACGAGUCGUCCAAGCCAACAUUGGACACAGUGACCACUGAUAUGCAAAUGUCUCCGUCUCGGACAAAACUGUGAUGUAUAAUCUCAAUCAACCAUUCAACUGUAAGGAGAAGAUGCACUUGUGGGUGUUACUCAUAAUAAUUAUGCAUUGCAAAUAGAAAUCCUUCAGUAGAGAUUUUAAACAUAGACCCCACUCCGUUCUAGUCCAAAGAGUCGAAGACAUAAACACAAGCCAAAGACACACAACAUCCGUGCAUAGAUAAUAAACACUAACAUGAUAAAAAGUUUCCAAUAGAUAGCAGCUGAUAGAUUAUAUAGCAGACAAGAUCCUCAUGUCUCUCUGUCUUCUAUUUGUUCCUUAGUGACAGCAACUUCAAGGCUCAUGUGCCCUGGUUUCCCAUCCAUGGUUUUCCUUAUUAUAGCGUCGUGCUCACCAGCCCAGGGUGUUGAAGGAUCAGCAAUACACUUGUAACUUAUGUAGAAGAUUGCAUUAUCUGCCUUGAGCUUCUCACGGGCCUCUGUUGUGUAUUCUUCUAAAGUUUGUACAACAACCUUCUUGAUCUCCAAGGGUUUGCAAGCGCUUACACCCUGCAAUUACAUUUGUGGCAAGCGUAAAGAGGGGAAGAGACAAACAAGUUUCACUUGCUUUUAUUUUUUUUGGGAGAGAACAAGAAUUGCAACAUUCAAGAACUUACACUCUCUGUUUUGGAGUAGAAGGCGACUUCCAUGAGCAGUUGCAGCCAGUCAUUCUCAUGCAGCUCUGAUUCUUGCACCUGCGAAUGAUGAUGAUCCACAGAAAUUUAUUAAAACUAGAACAAAAAUUCAAAAACUCCAAUGUGGACAUGAAGGAUGUUUCUUAUUACCACGUAAACCUUUUUAUCGUCACGGACCAAGGCCUCAUCAGAAAACCAUUUGGGCAUCGGACCUUUGUAGGAAUCAUCUAUUGCAGCCAUGUCCCAAACUUCAUCCACACUCUCGGUACCAUCUAAAAAGUGAUGUUUAUAAACAGUUAGUCCUCUUUUGACAAAUUCAUCUCCAAAAACAGUAAGUCCCGAAUAAAAACUGUUAUGCUUAUGGAGGUAAUAUAGAUUCUUACGUGUUGCUUUGAUUCUGGCGGCUAAGCUCGCCAACGUAAGACCGAUACCCCAAGUAAGAUACUGAUAAUCAUUGCUUAACAUGGUCUGAAAAGAGAAGACCGAGCCGCUGGUCGGAGCCGUUGCCUCGAAAGUUAUGUAGUAGUCCUCGUAUCUAGUCGAGUGAGUACCACACUUUUCCAAGCGUUUAAACUUAUAGUUUGUUCCCUGUCAAAAACGUAAAAACUUAUAAUUUCUUUUUGACAAAAGACAGAGAGAGAGAGAAUAGUGAUGAUGAUGAGAGUUACCUUCUGAAAAUUGUGGCAGUGGAGUCCAAUCCUAGCAAAAAGGGCGAUUUCAUAAUCAUAUUGCCAAGUAGACUGAAUUUCUUCAUAAGAUCACCAAUCCACAUCAAACCCCUAACAAAAUUAAACGACGCAGUCAGACUUUGGUCAGAACGGUAAGGCGCUUGUUCCGUGAGACUCUAUACCCCUACGACAAUCAGAUCAUCCAAAAUCAAAAUCACUACAAAACUAUAAAGCUAGGAGGAAUUUCGGAGAAAAUUUACUAGGGCCAAUCCGCAACUUCUCAAGGAGCCCCAUCUUCGUUGCUGGUUUUCGAAAGUUUCAAGCUUUCGCUUUCGAUUAUUUUUGAUUCUCUCUUGCACUGAAGAUGCUUUUGUAAUCCCGAGUUCACUUGAUUCUUUUUCCGCCAUACCCUGCAAGUAGCCAAACCCUUCAAGUCUCUCAAAUCUCAAUCUCAGACAAUAACUUGGUUGCUUUGGGGUAGGCUGGGUAUUCGGGCUAUCCAUUCGGGUUCGGGUAAACCCGAAUACCCGGUCUACUAGAAUUUGGGGUAUGGCGGAAAAUAAAACCUAAUAGAAUUUAUAAGGUUUAUAAGCCUAUUGUAAAAGUUAUUGUAAAGUUUUUUAAGGCUGUUAUAUGGUUUUUAUAUGGUUUUUGUAUGGUUUAUUACCUUUUAUAAUGCUUUUAUAUUGUUUUUACAAGGUUUUUAUAUGGUUUAAUAUCUUUUACAAGAAUAAUUCUCAGAUUCUCGAAAUAUUAAUUUUACAAAAGGUACUUCAAUUUUAAUAAUAUAGAUAGAUAUCAAUUUUAAUACCACGGGAUAAUUUUUUUUAGUCAAUCCUAAAUAAAUCAAUUUGUUUUAAUAUAUUUCUUAUUAUAUUAUGAUGUGAAGAAAAUAAUAAAAAGAAUAAUAAUUCGUGUAACGUUUGAUUAAUGAUAUUGUAUAUUUAUAUUAAUAUCGAUCCAAACCCAACCCGUCAUAUAACUCCGUAAUAUUUUAAACUUUUUAUCAGUUUAAAUAUUCAUAAUAUUUUAAAUUUUGAUAAUAUGAUGUUUCAAAAACGUUUUUAAAAAAUCAAUUAAAGAUAAUAGGAUAAUCAUAAUUUUAAAUCUUGACAAAAUCUUUUAAAUAUCUUCAAUAUUAACUAUAAUGUCAUUCAUUGUAAAUAAGUCUCAACUUCAAACAUACUCCACAAAAGGUACUUCAAUUUUAAUAAUAUAGAUAUAGAUAUCAAUUUUAAUACCGCGGGAUAAUUUUUUUAGUCAAUGUUAAAUAAAUCAAUUUUUUAAUAUAUUUAUUAUUAUAAUACUAGAGAUUAACCUGCGGUACACCGUGGGACAAAUAUUUAAUUUAUAAUCACCUAAAAUUCAUAAUUUAUAAGUUUGAUAUUAAAGUUAUUUAUUUUGUAUUAAUUUUAGAUUUAACCUGCAGUAUACCACAGAAUAAUUAUUUUUUCACUCAAUCUUAAUUAAAUCAACUUGUUUUAGUGUUUUUAAUAUACUAUAAUAUUAGUAUUGUUGAUAAAAAAAAUGACUCGUAUUGUAACAUUUGAUUAAUGAUAUUUUAUAUUUAUGUUAAUAUCGAUCCAAACUCAUCCCGCCAUAUAACCCCGUGAUAUUAAGAAUAUAUAACCCUGUGAUAUUUAGAAUUUUUUAUCAGUUUAAGUAUUCAUAAUAUUUUAAACUUUUUAAAAAUUUUAAAUAUAUCGAUAAUAACAUUUAAAUUUUUUAAAAUUUUUAAACUUUAUUAUAUAUGGUAUAAUUAAACAGUUCAAUUAAAUAACUGAAUGAAACUGAGUAUCUAUAUUAUUGGAGAAUUAUAAUUUAAAAUCUUAACAAAAUCUUUUAAAUAUCUAUAAUAAAAUCUUUUAAAUAUCUAUAAUAUAAAUAAAGGGAGAAUUACUCAAAAAACCUGUUUGAGCGACAUCUUUACUAGAAAGACCCCCUCUUACUAGAAAGGCCUAAAAAAAGAGUGGAGAAAUGACUUCAAAACCUGAGUAUUUAUUUUAUAUUUACAACUGAUGCCAUUUAGAAUUAAAAAAUUAAAAUUAUAAAAGUGUUGAAAACCUAAGAUGUGCCUUUAAUGGCGUCGACAAACUUUCUUGGGACCUUGGCGAGAGCAGAUGGACUUCCGUACGGUAGAGAUUUCGAUACGCAUCAACCAACCGACAAAUCCGGUUACUCCGGUGACUAGAACUUUUAGGCCCCCACGACACCUAGGACGAGCCGAUUUACGGAAUUGUUUCUUCCAGUGAGAAUCGCCGUAUUUCGUGGAAGAAUCGUUGAGAUUCCGACGGAGGGGUUAAGACCUCCGGGAAACGUCUAUCCUCUUGGGUAAGUGCCAAAUUUCGUAUCUUUUGUUUGAAUUUCUCUGUUUGUUGGUACUUUUUACUGACCCAUUUGUGGGUUUGUUCUUUCUCCGUUUGAUUUCUAGUGGCUUCAUUUUGUGUUCCUCUGUUAUCCUACAAUUCGAAUUAGCCAAUUGUUUUUACUCUUACAAUUUUGAAUUCGAAUAACCAAUUGUUUUUACUACCUGUAGAUAGUCAGUUCUUGGGCUGAGAUUAUAACUAGAUAGCUUGAUGUCUUUGCAAUUGUUGAAGUAGAUUUUGGUAUCAUGUAAUGGUGCUUUUUGUUUUUGGAAUCAUUGGAGCUAUCGAUAUAUGAAAGAAUUAUAAUAUUAAAAAGAGCUGAAUUUUUAAAUUUUGCAGGUUUGUAAAACAAGGUUAUCAAGUGAUUAAGUGAGGUGAAGAAACAAAGAAAGAGUAAAUCUUCUAGAAAGGAUUCUAUAUUUAGCCAGGUUUGUAAAACAAGGCUAUUAUCUCUGUCGUUUUCAUUUAUUCUACUGAUGGAUUUCAAGUGCUAUUUGUAAAUUUCUUAUAUUGUCGUUAAGGUCUGCUUCUCUGUCUCUCAUGUGUGUUCAUUCGUUCUGAUUUUGUAUUUCCUUUGUAUGCUUCUGUUUGAUUUUGGUGUCUUGAUUUCGUGGUAUCAGGAGCUUGAUGAGAUGAAGAGGAGAUUGAAGGAGAUGCAGGAAGAACCUGCUGCACUGCGGGAGAUGAAAGCAAAAGUCGAAAAAUAAAUGGGAGAUGUUCAAGGUCUGUGGCUCUUUCGUUUCUUUGCUCGUGUGUUUUCUAGAAAUUCGAUAUACUGGGACUCUGUUAAUUGUCUUAAUUCGUUUGAUUCAUGUUUCUUUUUGGAAAUGAGUUCUAUUUUAGAAUUGAGUUUUAGUAGUUGCAGGUUUCUCUUCUUGACUUGAGUUCAGUUUCAGUUUCAGAUUUGACUUUGAGUAGUCGCAUGUUUCUUUUUUGGAAAUGAGUUGCAGGUCUCUUACUAACUUGAGUUCAUUUUCAGAUUUGAGUUUAACUAGUUAAGAUUAUGUUUUAUGUUUAGUGAUUGUGAUAUCGUUAUCUCCAACGUUAAUAAUUUAUUUGUAACAUUGAUUUUAAUUUGUUGUGCUUGCUUGAAGAAUUUAAUAAAUCCAAGGAUAGUAAUAAAUUUACUAUUCUGUUCUUUUUUUAAUCCAUCUCUGCAAUUUCUCAUGGAGAAAGCCUCUGUUUCGUAUAGAACUUAGGCUUUAAGUUCGUGGAUCACUAGGCCAAUGUAGAGACUAGUUUACUGACUAUUUUUAAGACUUUUUGGUACUUUUCAUUUGUGGUUUCUGAAGCCUUAUUGGUCGUAUUGCUGUUGUUUUUGUUUUUAUGGUCCUUGCUCACUUCUAGAGGCGGAAGAGAUGCGUGCAUACAAGGAGAACACCAGCAAAUUGAUCUCUCACGUUGGUUUUCAGGAACCUAUGGCUCCGGUGAGGUUCAUACCUAAGAAAGCGGCUGUCUUUGAGUUCAUUUUCAGAUUUGAGUUUAACUAGUUAAGAUUAUGUUUUAUGUUUGCAGGAGAAAUUUCUUUACCAGGUGGUAAAGCAGAAGAGAAUGAUAAGGAUGAUGGGAUUACUGCAACUAGAGAGGCAGAGGAAGAGAUUGGUUUAGACCCUUCGCUUGUUGAUGUUGUUGCUUUCCUCGAACCAUUCCUGUCUCAGGUAUCAAAAGUCCUCACUGUCCCCUUCUCCUUGCUGCUAUUUUUAUAACAAAUGCAUGUUCGUAUUAGGAGCCGUGUUUUGUGACACAAGAGUAACGGUUGAUUAUUAGGCAGAUAUGCGUUUUCAAGUGUCGAGGCCAUAUUCAACCAGUGACUGUCUUUAGGCCAUUGUGAUUUUCAUAACUGAAUUUUGAAUCUUUGUUCGUAGUUCUAAUACAAUUUUUUCGUGUCCUAGUAGCAGAGUAAUGGUAACUGCAGCGGCCCUCUAUAUUUUUUCUAAGAUCCUGAAUAAAUUUUAGAAGUAGCUGAAGCCUGAAUAUCCUGCCUUUUAAUGUUGGUUUAGUCUCUAUGCAAUAUUUUCCCUGCCCCAUACCAAGCUUUCUUUAGCUUUUAUGAAGUGAGAGAUGCAUAGUUCUCCAACUCUGAACAAUAUUUUGCUUAUCUGUGAUUCAUGUUCCAGUGCAGCAUCUGCUUAGAGUAAUUCCUGUAAUAGGAAUAUUGUGGGACAGAAAAGCAUUCAAUCCAACGCCAAGUCCUGCAGAGGUGGAAGCCGUGUUUGAUGCACCCUUUGAAAUGUUUCUGAAGGUUUCUCUCGUUUCUUUUUAUCGAGGAUGCUUUAUAGUUGCAUUCUUUAUUUACUCUGAAGCAUUGGUGGUUGAAAAAUAUCUUACACAGGAUGAGAACCGGAGAUCCGAGGAGAUUGAUUGGAUGGGGGAAAAGCAUUUGGUCCACUUCUUUGAUCUCCUCACGCUGCAAUAAUCUAGGUUUAAAGCUUGUCUGUGAUGUUUCUUCUUCUUCUGUUUUAAUGAAUUUUGGGAUACAUUAUGGAUCAAAUGGUUUCUUGUGAUAGUUAACCUGCCACCUCCAUUGUAAUAGACAACCACAUGCAUGUAAGCAGCUGUUGGAUGUCUGAAAAUAUAGAAAUUAUUUAAUGAAUUUCAGUUACGUAGCGACGUCGUGGUUAGCGAGUCCUCAUCUUCAGACUUGUUUUUUGAAUUUUAAUGGAUUGCCUCCAGUAUUCAGCUAUUGAAGGUGAGUUUUGAACUUUUUCCUAUUUUUUUGCGAUUUGAUACACAAAUUGUUACAUUUUAGCUAAUGAAGUCUGGUUGAUACGUUUGAUGUGUCAGACAACUAUUUUGUGCUUCUGAUGGUGGAACGAUUGUAUAUAUGUAAGACAUUGAAGUAAUAAUCUUUACUUCUUUUGGCACUGCUUAUUCUUGUCCAGGUAGUACCUGUUGUUGAUGGAGUGCAGGUGUAUUCAAUGGUUGAAGCACACAAGCUAGACUUAUCCGUUGCACCUGUCUCAUCUAGUAGAACAGCCAUAUCGAGGAAACGUAGAAUCUCAUGAUCUCGUUCUUCUCGCACUUUUCAAUAUGUCCAAGAGUUGAGAGAUUACGUAAGAAAACUAAAUCCAAGGGCUUACACGAUCCAAGGUAUAUGUGUGGUGUAAAUGCAGUUAAUACAGCUAUUGACCAGCUAGCUUUGAACAAAAGAAUCAUGUGAUUACUUAUGGUAGACCAACACAAAAAAAAGUUUAAGACAAUGUGCUGUCGUCACCUUCUCAUUUUCUAGUAUUUUUUUUGGUAAAAGGAUUUUCUAGUAUUUUUGUUUUGUUUCGAACAAAUUAACCCUUCAAUAAUUGAUCAACAAUGCUAUUAAACAAUAAUUGAUCAACAAGAGGACUUGUACCACACGGUUUUGUUUCCUAUGAUAAUUUAAUUUUAUAGAACACUCAGAUAACAGAUUACUCGAGAAAAAUAUUAUGUACUACUAUUGACUAAAUUGAAAAACUACAAAAGUAUAACUGUGUUAAAAAGAUGACGCAUACAUGGGAAAAGAUGGCGCACGUGGGAAAAUUAUUGAAAUUCAAUCACCACUUUUGUCCGAAAAGUUUGAAUCAGACGAAAAGUGAAGAUGGCGAUGGCGACAAGAUGAUUUUAAUACGAAGUGCACGUGGAGUAAAAAGACAGCGCAUGUAGAGAUACACCCUGGUACAAUUAUGUUUUAAUUUAAAAUUUGCAACUAAAAAAUUUUAAAAAUUUAAAUAAAUCACCAAUUUUUAUGUUAGUGAAUGCAAACAUUAAGACAUAUCAUAUUUUAACAUAUAUUACUAUAUUGUUACUUUUAUGAUUCAUGUAUAGUAAACAUUCAUUACACUUUGAUUGUUACUUUGUAAAUUUUAACCAAGUAAUUAUGUCAAAUAUACAAACAACAUAUUUUACAGAUAUUGUUAUAUGAAAUUUUAGUAAUUGUAUUUUUAUUACCUAACAUCAAAAAUACAACUGCAAAAAGUAAAUUUAAAUUAAAGUACUACUGAUUAUUAGAUUAAAAUACCAAAGUACAAUUGUGUUCAGAGACAUACUACUACCAUCUUGAGUACAACUAUGUGUAAAUUUGACGGCGCCUAUGUGAGUAAAAGACGGAGCACGUGGGAAAGACGGCGCACGUGACGGCUGAUUUACAGAAAGACGGCGCACGUAACGGCUGAGUUACGGAAAGACGGCGUACGUGACGGCUGAGUUACGGUAUACACAAAUUUAAAGUUCAAAACUUAUAUAUCCUCGAAAUCAUAGUUUGAAUCAUUAUUACCCACAUACUUUACAACGCUAAUAAGUCUGUUAAAACGUGUGUUAAGUUGAAAAUUACAAAAUUCUGUCAUUUUGUGUUGUUAUGAAAGAAUCUACACAACAUAUCCCUUAUACUUUUAAGUCACUUUGUAAAUAAUGACCAACUUAUGAUGAAAAAGUGACGGAAAUCAAAGUUUAAAACAUAUUAAUGCAUAAAAUACUCCGAAUUAUAUGUUAAUUGAGCUAUAUCAACUAUACAACUAAAUAAACAAAUUAAAAGUAUAUGUGAUACUAAUUAAACGGAAAACACUAUUUGAAAUUUUGGUACAACUACUAAUACACUUGGUAUAACUAUCUGUAAAUUUAACAGCGUCCAUGUGAGUAAAAGACAGCGCACUUGGGAAAGACGGCGCACAUGACGGCUGAGUUACGGAAAGACAGCGCACGUGACGGCUGAGUUACGGUAUAUCCCAAAAAAAUGUUUCUCAUUUUAUAUCCCCACGAAUUUAAAGUUCAAAACAUAUAUAUCCCCGAAAUCAUAAUAUCAAAAGUACAACUACAAAAAGUAAAUUUCAACUAAGGUACUACUGAUAUUAGUUUAAAAUACAAAAGUACAACUGUGUUCAGACACAUACAACUACCAUCUUGAGUACAACUCUUUAGAAAAUUUGGUAAUAUUUAACUAUUCUUUUCAAACAUGUGGUCUUUUUCCAGCAACAUGUGUUUGUUUUGCCAUGUUCCAAUGCAGCAUCUGCUUAGAGUAAUUCCUGUAAUAGGAAUAUUGUGGGACAGAAAAGCAUUCAAUCCAACGCCAAGUCCUGCAGAGGUGGAAGCCGUGUUUGUCUUAUUUCUAUGACUGUAACGUUUUGGUGAUGUUAAUCUGGAUUUUGUUAUACUUUUGCUGAUUUUGAUGAUGUUAAUUGUCUAGUUUUUGCUUAUGUCUUGUUUUUCUCUUGUUUUUGUCUGGUUAAUGUCUGGUUUUUGCAUAAGUCUGGUUUUUGCUUAUGUUUGGUUUUGAGAAGUCUGACUUAUCUUUAGCAUUGCUUACUAAAGCGUUUUUAUUGCUUCUUAUGUCUGUUUUUCUGCACCAUUUUGUCUGGUUUUUUUAACGUUUCUUUUUGUUGCUUUAGUGUACCAUAACAGCUGAUAAGGGAAACCCUUUUGGACUUGGAAGACUUAGAGAGACUGUCAACAACAGGAAGAGAAAAGAAAGUUGUGCAAGCUCUUCAUCAUCCUUGUCAGAGAUGCAAGAACAGUUUCAGGCUGCUCGUCGAAAGUUAGCUGAGCAAGACUUAAUCAAUUCUCAACGUGAGGCGGAGCAACGCAUAGCUCAAAGUAGGUUCUCAAGCUUGGAGAUGAUUGUCUCAUACUUGAAGACCAAUGAUCCCCAAUUUGCAGACUUUUUGGCGCGUCAACCACCAAUCAUCCCACCUGAAACUGACCAGCCACUAGACAAGGCACUGUACCAGCCACUGGACAGGGCACUGCACCAGCCACUGCACAAGGCUCUGCACCAGCCACUGCACAAGGCUCUGCACCAGCCAAAGGAUAUCCCUUGUUGUUCUUCUCUUUCUUUUGUGCAGCCUGGUAAUUAAGUAGUUCAUAUUUGCACAUGGGAUACGAGAAAGCCUCUAACCUACUCUAAUUCUAGCGCCAUGAAAGCUUGUAAAACCAUGGUUCGAACAGCUCAUGAGGAUGAUGGUCACUGGACCAAGAGUGAAGAAUGCUGUCAAGUUGAGCAGAGUAUCUGCUUACUGAAUUCAGAACCUCCUAUUGAUGAUAUGAUAGAGGAUGACACCACUUUCCUUUUAUAUAUCUCUAUUACAUGUAUACUCUUAUCAUUUGUAUAUAAAAUAUUUCCAACAAUAUUCUUUUGUUCUCCAUUUUCUUUGAAGGUGUAAAGAUUACUUUCUCGGCAGAGAAUCUUAUAGAAAUAUAGAUGGAAAGUGUUUCUUGAUUGUGAUUGUUUGUUUGUGUAACGUUUAUUUAUAUGAGAUUUGUUUGUGUAACAAGUCCGGGGUGAAUACAGCAAUUGACCCGAUUAGGGGUUGGAUUUUUAGGUACUUUACUGCAAGGUUGAUGUCAGAAAAUAUUCGAACAUCAUUCAACACAUGCUUGCAUACCUUAACUUCAUCGAGUUCCCGAGAGAUAAAAAGUUCGUUAUUAUAUUGUUCCACAGACAUAUGAUCGAUGUGGCAUCCAAUACCUUUCCAAUCAGCUUCUACUGGAAUUCCGUUAUUCAUUGCAAAUACCAUAGCUGAAUAGGAUGAAUAACCAUAACAGUAAUGAGCACCUUUACUAUCUUUAAAUCUUCCCUGACUUGAAAAUGUGAGUCAUCACCCCGGACUUGGGUAUGAUUGAAAAUGUGAGUCAUUCUGUCUGAUAAAUUAUGUAUGUUGUUCUUUUGUUUUACGUUUGAAUCUUUUUUAACUAAGAUUUUAUUUUUCCAAUAUUCAGGAAAUUUACCGUGGGCCUACAAGGGAUGAUUCCAUAUUCAAAAGAUGGCAUUCCGUCUCCAUUCGUUCGAUAACAUUUGUGAAUGGGGAAGCAAUUGCAGAGUGUAAAAACUCUCAUGGUCCUAAGAGAGGAAAUCAGGGUUAUUUUAAGGCAUCCCUGGAUGUUAUGAUAAGUGACGUAUAUUCAAACGGAUCGUUUAAAUCUCCAAGUAGAUUAUUCAGGAAUUUUGUCUAUGGUGAGGUUAGGAAAGAAUAUGAGGUAUGUUCUUUGUUUUCUUGUGGAUUAAUAGUUAUUAAUCAUAGUUAUUUAAUUUUCUUAUAUCUGAUGUUUUGUUUUCUUAAGUAAUGUGACAAAAAUUAACUUCCUUCUUAAUUUUUCUUAUUUUCUUUAGAAAGAAGUAGUUGAGUGUAUAAGUAAAGAGUCUACAUGCCCCACCACUCUCCCGAAAGAUACAUUACUUCGUAUAUUUGAAGGGAUUUAUCAUAACACAUCGGUUCGUGUGUGUCAAUCUGAGGUAUGUUUAAAACACUAUAAUUCUUUUCUAUUUGAUUAUAGUCCUAUUGAAUGUAACAAUUUGCAUAUUUUUGGGUGAUCCAAGGGUAAAGAAGAAGUUAUUGGAACCCCGAUAGACCGAGCUCUAUUUAAAUGGGCUAUAGAGGUUAUUUUUGUAGUUUCAUUUCUUUCAUUAUAUCAAUAUUUGUUGUUUUGUUGUCAACUAUUUUUAAUGAACCUGCAGCUACAAGCGAAGAUGAAUAUCACUUAUAACAAGUCUGACUCUAUCACGUUAAAAGGUCCAUGUGAUAAAUGCCUUCCGUGUAAGAAAGGGGUUAAAUCAGUGCCGAAAGUUGAAGCCAAAGGCACUGCAGUGGAGGGUGUAUGAGUUAUAAUUUUUUCUAUCAACUUCUAGUUAUAAGCAUUAGUUUCUAACUUCUAUUUUGGUCUUUUCAUUUCUCAGAAAAUUCCCUCUCUAAAUGGGGUACGCAUCCAUUGGAAAGGCAAACCUGAAUUCAUUCUAGAAAAAUGUCUUCUCGAUGGUGCUGGAAAGGUUAGCAGCAGUUAUUUAUUUUUUAUUUUCAUUUUUUGUAUUCAUGUAUGAAAAUCUGUUUGGCAAAACCUAAAUUCUGUCAUUUCAGGAAAGAAUACUUGAAGCUAUCAAGAAAAUGGCUGCAAAAAAUUUAAUCUGUAUUGCUAUUUGCACUAAUUCGGAGAUGAAUCAGUUUGUUCCAGAUGAAGAUAAUCGCAAACAGUGGGAAUUAACAUGUGAUCGUCUUGAUUUGUUGGCUGUAUUUGGUAUUCAGGUUUUUUCCUGAAACUUUAUCCUUUAUACAAUCUUGUAAUAUUGUUAUGCUGACUUAAAUAUCUUAUUGUACUUUUGUAGAGUCCACGUAUCUUACCUAAGGAUGCUCUUGAAAAGCAGGUAUGUAGAUAUAUCUCAAUUGUUGUUUAUGUUUUGUUUGUUUUUAGUGAUAUCUAAUAUUUUCUUGGCAGGCUCCCUUGGAUUUCGACGAAGGAGAUGAUGAUCCCAGUUUGGAUUAUUUGGUUGAUUUGGUUGAUAGCACAAUAUGUUCAUCAAUUUCAAGUAAUCAGGGUUUAUAAAGAUUCAAGUUUCAUUAUUGUUCAAUCACAACAAAAAUUUCGUUAUAUUUCUGUGGAAUUUUAAAGUUUUCGAUUUUCUUUCCUAAUAUGUGAUUAGGCUUCGAAGAGAAUAUGGAGGGGACGCCACAGGUUGAGGAUGAGGUGAAACAUAUGUCUCCCUUGUUCCGAGUUUUCUUAAAAACAUAUGUAGCUCGAGCUGCUGAAUUUCUUAUUCAUAAUUGGGAUCUCUCUUAGGUGGUUAGUUAUUACUUCUCAUUGGUUCUAAUCAAAUCUGAUUGCGUGGUUUAUUUUCUUUUAGCUUUUUGAUCUGGAUUGGUCUUCCUAUCCGCCUACACUAGUUAAGUCUACUUGGCAAUAUGAUUAUGAAAUCGCCCUUUUUGCUAGGUAACUCUCAUCAUCAUCACUAUUCUCUCUCUCUCUCUCUUUUGUCAAAAAGAAAUUAUAAGUUUUUACGUUUUUGACAGGGAACAAACUAUAAGUUUAAACGCUUGGAAAAGUGUGGUACUCACUCGACUAGAUACGAGGACUACUACAUAACUUUCGAGGCAACGGCUCCGACCAGCGGCUCGGUCUUCUCUUUUCAGACCAUGUUAAGCAAUGAUUAUCAGUAUCUUACUUGGGGUAUCGGUCUUACGUUGGCGAGCUUAGCCGCCAGAAUCAAAGCAACACGUAAGAAUCUAUAUUACCUCCAUAAGCAUAACAGUUUUUAUUCGGGACUUACUGUUUUUGGAGAUGAAUUUGUCAAAAGAGGACUAACUGUUUAUAAACAUCACUUUUUAGAUGGUACCGAGAGUGUGGAUGAAGUUUGGGACAUGGCUGCAAUAGAUGAUUCCUACAAAGGUCCGAUGCCCAAAUGGUUUUCUGAUGAGGCCUUGGUCCGUGACGAUAAAAAGGUUUACGUGGUAAUAAGAAACAUCCUUCAUGUCCACAUUGGAGUUUUUGAAUUUUUGUUCUAGUUUUAAUAAAUUUCUGUGGAUCAUCAUCAUUCGCAGGUGCAAGAAUCAGAGCUGCAUGAGAAUGACUGGCUGCAACUGCUCAUGGAAGUCGCCUUCUACUCCAAAACAGAGAGUGUAAGUUCUUGAAUGUUGCAAUUCUUGUUCUCUCCCAAAAAAAAUAAAAGCAAGUGAAACUUGUUUGUCUCUUCCCCUCUUUACGCUUGCCACAAAUGUAAUUGCAGGGUGUAAGCGCUUGCAAACCCUUGGAGAUCAAGAAGGUUGUUGUACAAACUUUAGAAGAAUACACAACAGAGGCCCGUGAGAAGCUCAAGGCAGAUAAUGCAAUCUUCUACAUAAGUUACAAGUGUAUUGCUGAUCCUUCAACACCCUGGGCUGGUGAGCACGACGCUAUAAUAAGGAAAACCAUGGAUGGGAAACCAGGGCACAUGAGCCUUGAAGUUGCUGUCACUAAGGAACAAAUAGAAGACAGAGAGACAUGAGGAUCUUGUCUGCUAUAUAAUCUAUCAGCUGCUAUCUAUUGGAAACUUUUUAUCAUGUUAGUGUUUAUUAUCUAUGCACGGAUGUUGUGUGUCUUUGGCUUGUGUUUAUGUCUUCGACUCUUUGGACUAGAACGGAGUGGGGUCUAUGUUUAAAAUCUCUACUGAAGGAUUUCUAUUUGCAAUGCAAAAUUAUUAUGAGUAACACCCACAAGUGCAUCUUCUCCUUACAGUUGAAUGGUUGAUUGAGAUUAUACAUCACAGUUUUGUCCGAGACGGAGACAUUUGAGACGGAUAUUAUUAUGAGUAAUCCCGCAGCCAGGGGAGCCAUGUGAAAACCCUUGACAGUAACACUCACACGUUUGUGGAGUAGUUUCUUGUUAUUGCUUUUGGUUUAGUUAUUCUGAAUCAUGAGAUAACUUAAUUUGUGAUUUUGCAAGUUAACUUAAUUUGUGAUUUUGCAUAUUACUCAUUUUUUUUUUUUUUUUUUCAUAUAGUAACUAAAUUUUGUAGUGAAUAAUUACUUUGAAGUUGAGAAGUAGCUUUUAUAAACAUUAUAAUGGAAAUUUGGUGUAAGUAUGUGUUUUUUUCAAAAGAAUUUCAUUAUUGUGGGAUCUCUAACAUAAGGUUACAUGAUCUAGUUCUGUGAGUGAUCACAAAUUGUAACGAUGCAUGAUGACUUUUGAUUGUGUUAUUAUAAUAUAUGAUAAUGUUAGCUAGAGAGAGAUAAUUUAUCUAGUGCUACGUUUGCGAUGAUAUAUGUCUUGGUUUUAAGGAGAUUGAAUCUGAUUUACAUUGCAGAUUAUUGGUAGAGGGAAGAUUAAGCAGAAGAUUGUUCAUCUUGUGGACGAAGUUCAAAACCUUCUAGAAAAUAUGGAAUCUAGUGACGUUGUUUUGCUUGCUAAUUGGAACGAUGUUAACUUUGCUUUUAAACUUGCAAGAGAGGCAGAACAGGGAGAUAUUUGUGUCAUAUGUAGUGAAGAAACCGUAGCGGAGCGCAUGUUCUUUAACGACAAAUGCCUUCACCGUCAUUGCUUUUCUUGUGUUAAAAAUCAUGUGAAAGCGAAGCUGGAUAGCGGAAAUGUGCCCACAUGUCUUGUCUAUGGAUGAAAGUUUGAGAUUACCCUUGAAAGUUGUAGUAAGUUUUUGACACCUGAGCUGAUAGAGAUGUGGAAACAAAAGAUGAGAGAGGACUCGAUUCCAGCUGAAGAGAGAAUCUAUUGCCCAUAUCCAAAAUGCUCAAUCUUGAUGUCUAAAACCGAGCUUUCAAGAUCUGCUAAUGAAGCCUCAGAUCAAUCCAAUGUUCGGACAUGUAUCAAGUGUUGUGGACUCUUUUGCAUUGAUUGCAAAGUACCAUCACAUUCUGUUUUGUCGUGAGCUGAUUACAAGAAACACUUCACCCUGAACUCAUUGUUAUAUAUGACUAGUGUUUUGGUUUUUGCAGCUACGACGUGCCCUUGGAUGAUAAAUAUCCUUUUUUUCAUUGAGGAAGGGAGUGCUGAUGAUUAGAAUGAUGACAAUUGGGAUGACUGAUUCUGGAGGUUUAACUGAUUCUGGCAAUGAAAGAGGCUUUACUCAGAAUUAUUCAAGAGUUAUUAACUUGUUAUACUCUUUAAUAUCUGUUUGGAUUAACACAGAGAUUAGAGUUGUUUUGGAACACAUUCUAUUGUUUUGAUUUGGCAUUUUCCUUGUUUAUGACGUUUGAGUGAAUGUUUAGAUUGAGAAUUUUAAUGACAUUUUUGGCUUUGGAAUUAUCUCAUUAUUAGUUUUUUUAGAAAGGGAAAUGAAAGACAGAGCAAAGGAAGAAACAAGAGACACACGAGAUUUGUAACACGGUUCAACACAUCGGUAUGAUGGAGUCUACGUCCGGGGCCAGAUCAAUACUGACGAUCCACUAAAUGAGAAGAAGAUUACAACUCAAGAACUAUGAGCAAAAAAAUAGAUGAAUGGAGAGAGGAGCUCAUCAAGAAUCGAAUAAAGAAUCGAUCAAGGAAGAAGAAGCUAAGGGAUUUGAUUUUUAAACCCCAAUUCCGUUUGUAACAGCAAAGUCUCGCUUUGAAGAAGGCGGGAUUCGUCUAAUGAUAUGUUUACGCAUCAAAAAAAAAAGGCAUUGAAGGGUUUAAUGUUCAUAUUGCGGUAUACACGAAAGUGUGUAGAAGUCACUGGAGCAAGCGGAGGGUUUGACUUUGAGUCAACAAGCUGAGGCACGUGAGACGUUAGACAAGCGUGUGAGGAAGAGACUUCUACAAGCAAGUAUAAGGCUUUGUCUUCUUCUUUCUCAUUUUGUAUCUUAUCCUCUUUCUUGUUGUUGUUGUUGGUUGUAACGGAUUGGGAAAAGCUCACGAGUUUCGAUCAAGAACAAGGUGACCUAGUGGAUUCCGGCCCGACGUACGUAGGCUCCGGUUUGGAGCUGAACUCGUUAAAUUCGUGUGUUGCUUCUCCCAUUUUCUCUUUCUUUCAAACAUACAAACGAAUGAAUCCAAAGUGAGUUGAGAGCGAGUUUAGAUUCGGGUUGAUCGCACAUGCAUAUUAAAACGAAUUUAAAAUCUAUAUAAUAAGAACAAUUUGAAUUCUAUUUUACGGUUAAGUUUUUUUUAUCAUAAUUUUUUUUUUCAAAAAAGAUUUUCAACGGUCGCGUUUUUUUCUUUAUAUCCUAAAAUCAAUAAUAUUAUUAAUUUUCAACAUUUAAUUGAAAUCGUUGCAACAUUUAAUUUGUUUAAUAAGUUUUAACUUAUUUUAUGAACCGUUGUAACUUUUAUUUCAUUUAAUGAAUAAUUGCAACAUUUGGUAUAUUUGACAUUUACGGUUGUGACUUUAGAUAUAACUUUAAAUAAAUUAUUUUGUAUUACUAAAAUAAAUCUAAAUAAAUUGUUACAACUAUUUAGUGGAACCAUUGAUAUUGAAAAUCACAUUUUUGGUAUAUUUUCUUAUAAACUAUUUUUUAUUACUAAAAUAUAGUUAAAUGAAUUAUUUUCCUUGUUUAUUUACAUUUAAACCACUUUACCAUUUGGUUUAUUUGACGAAUUAUUACCACUUUUAAUUUAAUAUAUAAAUCAUUGUAACCUUUAAUUUAUUUGACGAACCAUUGCAACUUUUAUAUAUGAUAUUUAUGUUUGCGUCUCUCAUUAUAACUCUUCAUAAUUUUUAUUUCAAAAUUUUUAAAUGAAAUGUUGCGACUGUUUAUUGAACCAUUGCAACAUACAGUAAAACCUCUACAAAUUAAUAAUGUUGUGUCUACAAUAUUUUAUUAAUUUAUAGUGAUAUUAAUUUAUCUAUAAAUUAAUAUUUAUUAAUUUAUCUAUAAAUUAAUAUUUAUUAAUUUAUUGGAUAAAUUAAUAUUUAUUAAUUUAUUGGAUAAAUUAAUAUUUAUUCAUUUAUAGGAAUAUUUUACAAAAUUGAAUGAUAUAACCGAUAAUUAAUAAAUUUACUUAAAUGAUAUACAUAAAUGAAAUUUAUGAUUAGUGGCAUUAAUUGUUGUAUUUAAAUCGUCUGUAUGACUAUCAAAAUGAAAAUGAUGUAUAUUCAGAUUUUGAAAAUUUACAUAAAAUUUUGUUUAUUUUUAUGGAAUAUUUAUAUUGACGAUGAUAAAAAAAAAAGAGUUUUAAAACACAAUAUAAUAUUUUUUAUAUUAAAAAUUAGUGAUGAGUUAAUUUUAAGAAAAAAUUAUUUAAAAAACACUUAACCAUAUAUUUGUGGAAGCCCCCUUGGCCCAUUGGUUGACCAAGGGUUGAUUAAUGCUUCUACACCAAAAAGUCUGGGGUUCGAGUCCCAUGUAUUGCGAUUUAUUAACAAAUUUGCAGAUUAAUGGAGGCAAGUGUGCAAGAGAUCUCCAGCGAUGUACAAUUAUAGCCGUUCGCCAGGAUUCUACGCAGAGAAGGAAGUGUAGCCAGGUCGUGGAUCAUUGAAGGUAUUCAUCAAGAUUACGAAGAAGGAAGUGUAGUCUGUCGUGAAUCUAGUAAGGGUCGGAAGGAAUUGUCAGUUGUAGAAUCGUCUAUGUAACAGUUCUCAUAAUUUGCAAUUAAUAAUAAAUCUAGACGACAAAAAAAAAAAAAAAACUAUAUAUUUAUAUAUUAUUUUUAUGUAUAUAUAUAUAUGUAAAUUUACAUGAUUAUUAAUUUUUGAUAUUAUUGGGACCAUAUUUUUACAUAGGAGUUUCAAAAAAAUUAUUAUCUUAUUAUCUUAUCGAAUUUUGCCAAUUUUUACACCGGCCCGACUAAUAUUUAUUAAUUUAUAGUGAUUAUUAAUUUAUAGAGUAUUAAUUUAUAGAUGUUUUACUGUAUUUGGUUUAUUUGACAAAGAUGGUCGGGCUCAUGACCCUAGUUUAUAGAAAAAUCAAUCGACACCAAAACAAGGGUUACAAAUAUUAAGGGGAUUUUAUAGCAAAGCAAUUACAAUAUUUAUUUGACAACUUCCCAAGCACGCAUUACGGUUGUGGUAAGUUUGGAAGGCUAGAAACGCCAAAGUUUUCGAAAAUGUGGAUGAGAAUCCUCAAGACGUAUUACGGUUGGCUGACGCAGAAACGUUAGCAUAGAAGCAGGCACAUGUGGAGGAGGAGUGCACAGAUCCGAUUACUUCGAGAUCUAUGCACUGCCUUGGGCCACGAGCCAAUCCACGAGACAGACUAAUUAACAAAGUUGCCCUUCUGGUUGCGAUGAUGACUCAGAUAGUUCUGAAGAGGAUAUGAUUGAUGGCGGUUACAUGCACCGAAGAUGGUGAUCAUUUGUAGUGGCGGAUCCAGAAAAAUAUUUAGUAUGGGGCACCAUUUAUUUUAUUUGUUUUUUUCAAAAUUAUUAUUACAUCUAUGAAAAUAUAAAUUUUGUAAUAAAAUAUAUAAUUCAUCAAUUCAUAUAGUUUGUUUCUUACAACCUAUGUAGGUACUAAGGUACAUAAUGUAUAUAGAUAUACAAUUUUGUAAUACAUUUCCAUAAAAAAAAACAUUUUACAAAUAUAUCACUACAUUUACUAUUUUAAUUAAUUAAAGAAAUAUCAAAACAUAUUUAGCUGACGGAAAGAAGUUAGAACUAAAUGAGGUAAUAAUUAAAUUAUUGUUUUAGGUGAAGGAAUAAAAAGUGAAAAUGUGACACACAUGAGAUUCGAACCUAGGGACGGGAGUGUUGAAUUGUAGGAACACUACCAAUAGUAGUACUAGGGGUUAUAAUUGGUCAUUAUUACAAACCAAAACUUUAUAAAUUUAGUGUGGGGCACGUGCCCCACCUUCUAACCACUUGGAUCCGCCCCUGAUUUGUAUCUUCCUUCUUUAUGACGUUUGAGUGAACGUUUAGCUUGAGAAUUUUAAUAACAUUUUUGGCUUUUGAAUUAUAUGACGUUAUGUUUUUUUAGUAUUGUCAACUAUAUUAGGAACUGUAAUAUGUGGCUCUGCAAGUACGUAUGUUGGUUUAUUGCAAUUUCAUUUUACCCAUCUGAAUUUCGUCUCUUCAAAUUUGUCUCUCCAUUUUCUUGCAAUUUCAUUUUACCCAUCUGAAUUUUGUCUCUUCAAAUUUGUCUCUCCAAUUUCAAUAACAUGCUUUUGAAAGUAAUUCUUGUUGUAGACCGCAUGGUCGGAUGGACUCCAUAACCGUGGCCCAUACACAUGUUCUAGAAGGUCCGGCCCUGCGGUCCGGCCCAUCGUGAGAAGACAAGAGGAGGUCUAAGUGUUAAUGGUUCAUGGGCCUUGUAUUCCUAGCCCAAUUAGAAUUGUAACCUCCUCAUGUGUAUAUAUAUAUGUUGUAACCUCCCUUCAUAAUCAAUAAGAAUUCACAAGUUCUAUAACACGUUAUCAGCACGAUAGCCUCUAAAUCUCUUAGCUAAAGAUCUGACACAUAAACCCUAAUCUCACGAUCUCUCUAUCUCUUUCAAACCCCCAAAACGCAAAGAAAUCUGCCUCGGAACUUCAAAGAGGUCGUUCUCUCAAAUCGUGAGGACCCAGAAAACGAGCAAGAUAUCAAAUCGAAGCCCUCGCCGAGACGAAUCCAUCAGUGCAAACGGCUUGUCGAUCUGACCACCGACGCGCCCUCACGCACAGAUACAGUGUGCGCCGAUUUGUUUUGAAAACCCUAGCUCGUCCGUCUGUUUGCUUUCUCCUUUGCUCGGCGAUUCCUUCCAAGGACCAUACGCUCGUGACAAGUUGAUAACCAAGGUCUUUAGCUCCCGGUCCUAGUCAGUACAACCCCAUAAGGUGAAAGGUAACAUCAAAACCCUAAAGCUAAAGAAUCAACAAUCGAACUUGAAAGUUAAGCAAAGAGAAACUCUAAAAAACGAACCUUGCUUGAUAAGCGAUUGUUAUUUUCUUGGAUGAUCCAAUUGCUUGACUCGUUUAAGUUGCUAGAAAAGUUAUUAUUGCUUAAUCUUAAACUCGCAAAUUGAAAACACUAAGCUAUGGCCAAAACCUUAAAAGCUAAGAAACCCAAAUCGGAUCAAAUCCGAAAUCCCUAAAGUGUAAAUCGAUUGAUUGAGGUUAUCAUAGGUUGUCUUAGAUUGAUUGAUUGGUUGCAUGCUAAAUUUAUAGAAAUCAAAAUCCUAAAAUCGCAUGAACCCUAGAAACCUAGAAAAGGAAGAAUCCCAUUGUGAUGGGAAAAUCCUAAAAAACCCUAAAUCCUAUUCUAAAUAGGAAAAGCUUAAUCCUAAAGAAAAAGGGGAAACCUAAGUAAGAGAAAAAUUCUAAAUCCUAUUGAAAAUAGGAAAUUCUAAAAAUCCCAAAUCCUAAUUAAAUUAGGAAAUUGAUAAAUCCUAUUCAAGAUAGGAAAUCCUUAAGAAAUAGAAAAUUUCUUAAAUCCUAAUUAAAAGGGAAAUCUUAAAAAUCUUAAAUCCUAAAGAAAAUAGGAAAUCCUUAAAAAGGAAAAUUAACCCUAAGCAAAAGAGGAAAAGUUAAUCCUAAAAGGAUAAGGAAAAGUUAAUCCUACGAGAAAGAGGAAAUCUAAUCCUAAAGAGAAAAGUCAAAUCUUUAAAGAAAAAGGAAAAUCGAUUCAUGGUUCGGUCUCAAAUACCGCAUGACACUAACGAUUUGUCCGUGGCAUGAUUUUGACUCAAAACUUUUCCUUAUAGAUGUCGAAUUACAACUUAUAUUUUACUGCCCUAAAUCUCUGAGGAGAUAAUUAUUUAAAAUGGGCAAUGGAUACUAAGAUUAUCCUAAAGUCAAAAGGACUUGGUGAAUGUAUCACAUAAGGCAAUAAUGCCAAAAGAAAAAGAUAGAUACAAGGCAAUAUUAAUUAUUAGCCACCAUCUUAUUGAGAGUCUAAUAAUCCAGGACUAUAAGUCCGUGGAUGAAUUUAUUGCUAGACGAGAAAAAUAAUGAGCUAUUGCUCUUGAAUAGUACAAUGAGACCUUCCGGUUCCAGGGCGAUACCGGAAGCCCACAAAGCCAAAAAGGCAAAAGAGCCUCAAGAGACCAAAGAAACCAACUACGUCCAUAGCGGGUAUCACGGCCGUGACCGUGGUAGAGGACGUGGUGGUCGCGGCAACUAUAGCUCCAACGGCCAAGGAAACUACCAUGGUGGUAGAGGCCGUGGGAACAAUGGCCGCGGUAGAGCUCACGGAAUAUACAAACCGCAACAAAAAGCUAAGUCCACUUGCCAUAGAUGUGCAAUGGGGAACCAUUGGGCUAAGAUAUGUAGGACUCCCAAACAUCAUUGUGACCUCUAUUAAAGAGAGUAUAAAAGGGAAGAAUCCUAAAGCCCAUUUGGUCUAUAACGAUGGUGAACAUGAUCAAGAUGAUCUAAUGGAGUAUGAAACUCCCGAUUGCCUAAAAGAAUCAAGUUGAUAAAUCUGAUUUUGACAUCAUAACCUCUAUGUUUUCUUUGCCAUUUUAUGUGUUCAUUGAUUGUUAUCUCCUUGAAUUUAUUUUAUAUUAUUUUAUGUUUAAAACAUGAUUCUUGUCCAUAUAAGAAAUGGCCGAGGACAAGAACAUACUUGUGGUGGAUAGUGGAGCCACACAAAAGACAAGAGAUAUUUUUCUAAAUCUCAUAAUGAAAAUGCCAAUAUUAGCAUCAUAGCGGGUAUAGCAAGUCUUAUUGAGGGCUACGGCCAAACCCAUAUCUUAUUACCAAAUGGCACGCAUCUUGAAAUAAGCGAUGCCUUGUAUUCACCUAGCUCAAAGAGGAGCUUAUUGAGUUUUAAAGAUAUAAGAUUAAAUGGUUUCCAUAUAGAAACAAAGGGUGAAGGGAACAAAGAAUCCCUAAAUAUAAGUGAGAUCACCAAAGGACAUAAGAAAGUCCUAGAGACUAUACCCGCAUUAUCCACUGGUCUCUACUAUGCUAAAAUCAAUAUGAUAGAAGCUAAUAUGGCAAUGAACAAAAUGCUACAAGAGCAUUUCACUUUAUGGCAUGAUCGGCUUGGCCAUCCGGGUCAUUGUAUGAUGCGUAAGCUAAUAGCUAAUUCAAAUGGGCACACCCUAAGAGAGAAAAAAUUUAUCCCAAAGAAUCUCAUGUGUGAAGCAUGUUCACAAGGGAAACUCAUUAUACGGCCAUCACCGGCAAAAGUUAAUAAAGAGACCUUAAACUUUCUUAGAAUACAAGGGGAUAUAUGUGGACCAAUACACCCACCAUGUGGGACAUUUAGAUAUUUCAUGGUCCUCAUUGAAGCAUAGACAAGAUAGUCGCAUGGUUCGGUCUUAAAUACCGCAUGGACUAGUUUAAAAUCGAUCGCAUGAUUCGGUCUUAAAUACCGCAUGGCCCAGAUCAUAAUGCCGGUGAAUUCAUGUCCCAAGCGUUUAAUGACUACUGUAUGUCCAUGGGGGUAAGUGUGGAACAUCCCAUGGCACAUGUACAUACACAAAACGGAUUAGCGGAAUCCUUCAUUAAACGAAUUCAAAUGAUAGCUCGACCAUUACUCAUGAGGUCGAAGCUUCCAAUAGCCGCUUGGGGACAUGCUGUAUUACAUGCAUCAGAGCUUAUACGCAUAAGGCCAUCUAGUGAACAUAAAUAUUCCCCAACACAAUUAUUAACGGGUCAUGAGCCAGACAUAUCCCAUCUAAGGACAUUCGGGUGUGCCGUAUAUGUACCGAUAGAUCCACCACAUAGAACAAAGAUGGGACCUCAAAGGAGGAUGGGGAUAUAUGUUGGAUAUGAUUCUCCCACCAUUAUAAAGUAUCUAGAGUCAACUACGGGUGAUCUAAUUAAGGCUAGAUACGCGGAUUGUCAUUUUAAUGAAUUCGAAUUUCCAACUGUAGGUGGAGAGACAAACAAGCUGGGUAAAAAUAUAAAAGAAAUAUCAUGGAAUCAAACAUCCUUAAUUUGGCAAGAUCCUCGGACUCUGAUGUGUGAUUCAGAGGUCCAUAAGAUAAUAAAUUUGUAAAAGCUAGCUAAUGAAUUGCCAGAUUCCUUUGCUGACCCAAAGAAAGUUACUAAAGCGUACACACCAGCUUGUAAUGCACCAAUACGUAUUGAUGUCCUAAAGGGAAUAAAUCAAGUUGCUACAGAGUCUAGACAACGUAUAAGACGUGGUAGACCAAUAAAGUUCCAAAGAUAAAAACCCUCGGAAAUUAAAGAAAGGUGCAAUAGGAAUCUGAGGUUACUAAGGAAACCAUCCCAGACAUGGAGAUAAGGCCGGCCGGCUCUAAGGUACAUGUACCAUAUAAUGUAGCUUGGGACGCCAAACUGCAAAGUAUUAAAGGUCCUGACCAUAAUAAAUCUCAAUCGAUUAUAUCAUGUCUGGAACAUAAUGGAACAUAUAAGAAAUGUCGACAUAAGAUGAUUUUGCAUGCAAGGUAGCACUUGAAUAUAUGAAUAUAAAUGAGGAUCAGGAGCCCACGUCUAUACUAGAGUGCACUCAAAGACAUGAUUGAUUAAAAUGGUACAAGACCAUAAAACGUGGAGCUAAGAAUCAUUAAAGAAAAGGAAUGAGUUUGGUCCGACCUUAAGGACACCAUUCGAAGUAAAACCAGUAGGACGCAAAUGGGUCUUUGUGAAGAAGAGAAAUGAGAAUAAUAAAAUCGUGAGAUAUAAGGCACGACUUAUAGCACAAGGAUUCUCACAAAGACCGGGGAUAGAUUAUGAAAAACAUACUCCCCUGUGGUGGAUGCUAAGUCUGGCUAUAUAAAAGACUUGAUUUGCGGCUAAUGGAUGUAAUGCCUGCAUAUUUAUAUAGGUCCACUGGAUAAUGAAAUAAUAUAUGAGAUUACCAGAGGGUAUUGAGCUCAAAGAUAAAGAUAAGAAAGGGUCUCGAGACCAAUACUACAUAAGGCUGAACAAAUCGCUUUAUGGACUAAAACAAAGUGGGCGUAUGUGGUACAAUAGGUUGAGUGAGUACCUAGUCAAAGAAGGCUAUAAGAACAACCCCAUUAGUCCAUGUAUAUUCAUAAAGAAGUUUGCAAACAAAGGAUUUGUGAUAAUAGCAGUAUAUGUGGAUGAUUUAAACAUCCUGGGAACCUCUGGAGAAAUCGCCCAAACAGUUGAAUAUCUAAAGAGAGAAUUCGAAAUGAAAGACCUAGGCAAGACAAAAUUUUGUUUGGGAUUGCAACUUGAGUACAUAGAUAAUGGAAUCCUUGUGCAUCAAAAGGCAUAUACAGAAACAGUACUCAAGAGAUUUAAUAUGGACAAGGCCCACCCAUUGAGCAGCCCAAUGGUGGUGAGAAGCCUAGGAUUGGACAGUGAUCCAUUCGGUCCAAAGAAGGACGAGGAAGAAGUUCUCGGUCUUGAAGUGCCAUACCUCAGUGCCAUAGGAGCGUUAAUGUACUUGGCUAGCCACACUAGACCAGACAUAUGCUUUGCCGUGAACUUCCUAUCGAGAUUUAGCUCAUGUCUGACCCAAAGGCACUGGAACGGAAUUAAACAUAUAUUACGUUACCUACUGAUCGUAGGUCAAAUAAUAAACCUAAAUAUGCAAACUACCGGAUCAAAUACGGUAAUCAAUUGUAGCACUUUAGGGUCGAAUCCACAGGGACCGAUAAGUUACACUACGAAUUUAUGGGAUUAAAGUUAAGCUAAGACAAAAUAAAAUAAGAUUUUGUUUCUAACAGCCUAACAAGAAAUUAAACAAAGCAAAUAAAUAAUAAAAGAAUAUUAGGCAUAGGGAAACCAUCCGGGAUGUGACAAAACAAUUAAAUCAAUUAACAAGGAAUAUUAAGAUAUGUUCUAGAACUCAAUUCACAAUUAUAAUGGUAAGUCACUCUCGCACAAAUACCUACUUAGCAAUACUAAAUUAAAGAACCGCUCUCGCGAGAACCCUAAGUAAAGCUAGCAUUAAAAACAAGAUUGAUUUGUUCACAAGAUGCCAUGGCAAGAACUUUCCUUGCCAAGCCAUGGAAUCUUGCUCGCCUAAUGUUGAUUCCAGCAACUAAACACCACUUUCGCACCUAGUUUAAUCACCUAAGAUCUUAGAACAAGUUAGCUACUCAAGCCCUAAGCAUUAAGAACAACAUUAGAAGAAGAACUAUAAAAUAAAUUCCCAAACUAACAACCUAAUAAUCGGUCACAUCCCUUCAGAAUAACCCUAGCCUAAUAAGGAAACUACUUAAGCAUAGAUACAAGAACAAAGAUGAACACAAAAGGAAACAUCUUUAUUAAAGAAUCUAAACUUAAAAAGAAAGCUAUAAAAUAAAAGAAAACAAAACUAGGGGAGAGCUACAGCUCUCAAAAGAGAGAGCCACUGCACUAAAAAGAUGUGUUUUGAUACAAGGUCGAGCCCUCCUUAUAUAGGAAAAGGGGAGAGCAACAAAAGGAAAGAAAAUAAAUGGAAAACUUGGAGAGGAGGCAAAAAGAGGCGGUGGACCGGUCGAUCCAUGGGCCGGAUCGAUCGGUCCUCAUCUUCAUGGGCUUUGGGCCGAAAUCCUCACAGGAUCGAUCGAUCCUAACAUUGUACUGGUCGAUCCUGACUCCCGUCCACGUCAGCUUUGUCAGCAUGUUGACCUGUCUUCAGUAAAUCAGCCAUAACUCUUGAUUGCACCGUUGGAUUUCCAUGAAACCACUUGGAUAUGAAAGCUAUCUCCCUUGGCUAUCUUGUGUCAAAAUCUUAGCAAGAUCCAACGGUGGGACGCUCUUCUUCUGAGGCCAUACUUCUGACGGGUCUUCUGGACUCUGCAUCUUUCAAUGUAUAUUUGCAUCCAAAUUGAUCCAAAACUCUUCCUUUUGCAAUAAACGCUCUUUAGACCUGUAAUACACUAAGUGAAGCAUAUAGUCCUAUAUUCUAUCUAAUAUAAGUUAGUUGACUCAAUAUACAAACCUAAAUCCUAUAUAGAAAACGGUAAUUUUGGGACUCAUCAAUUCCCCCAGACUUGAAUCUUUGCUUGUCCUCAAGCAAGAAUAAUCAGAAACACAAAUCUUAAAGGAAAGGUUUGAAAACGGGAACUUACAACUUCUCGAGAAUCUUCGUACAUCUUCCGUAAAUCCAUCAUUCAAAGGAUUGAGCUUACAACAUGUAUUAACCAUUGGCUUAGCAACUCUCCGUACUGAUGUCCCGGGAUCUCAAGGAAGCUCCAAAAUCUCCAUUGUUGACUCCCUACAUUCAUUCUUUACAAGCAUGCGGUCUCAACGAGGGAGUAUCGAUCAAAGAUCGCGUAGACGCUUACCUUCCUCUAGCUUCCAAGACAUUCUUCUUAUGGUUCCUUUCCUCCUCUUCCCUUUUACUCUUUUGAGAUCGAUUUCUCCCUUCUUUAGGGUAUCUUUCUAUUUUUUCUAUCGAUCUCUUUUUCUCUUUAGCCCGGGGUUGGUUUUCAUGAGUCCGAAGUAUGCAAGGGGGUAACCAUGCAUCCCUCAGCCCACUUCUUUGUUUACCACAUCCCUUUUAUUUUAUUUCUUUUCUUUUUAUUCUUUUUUCUUUUUCAGGAGAAGAGAGGGGAAUCCAUACUUGUUUUCUUUUCUUUGUUAUGCGCGUCUCGGAAAGCUUUGAGUCAGAGGUCGCGUUUGAUGUAUACCAAGCCCCAAGUUGAGAAGAUUAAGUCCAAAUUAACGUCUUGUCAUGGGUGGAGUCAACGCCAAGUCAAUCGGAUUUCCAAGAGAUAGGGACUUCUGGUGAGUUGUUCGGCUAUGGCGUUCCAAUCUUCAGCUCUUUAAAAGGAUAGUCAUGACGGAUAGCAGAAGAUGUUAGUACGAACACACGAUUCACAAAAGAAGUUCCAAGUUCCAAACCAUUUUGACUCAAUAAAAUGACUCAAAUAAAAAUAAAAAUGUUAGUGCAAAUGGUCACAUUCCUCCCCCAGACUUACUUCACACCGUCCCGGUGUGUAAGAAAAAUCCAAAGGAAGAAUUGAAACCGACAACAAAAGAUAGUUAUAAUAUACAUAAUAGAAAAUCAAAAGCCAAAAGAAAAAGGAAAGAAAAACCAGUGAUCAAACGUUUGGUGUGUCGAGACAAUGUGGCAUGAGUCCUUGUACAGCUCGGAGCAGGGGAUCGAUCAGUCUUCGCGAGGGACCGGUCGGUCUGGAUCUUCUAUGGUCUCGGACUUUGUCAAUUGCCAGGGGAUCGAUCGAUCUGUCGACAGGAUCAAUCGGUCUCCAGUGUCUGGAACAAAAAGUUUCGCAUCCUCUGCGUUUAGUACAUGUUCCUGAAAACACUCAACACCGGACGUGAUUUCACCGUAAUAAAAUCCUAAAACAAAACCAAAAAUAAAGAAAAACAAAAGAUAAAGAGAAAGUAUGUACAAACUCAGUGGGUUGCCUCCCAUAAGCGCUUUUUUUUAAAGUCGUUAGCUUGACUGUGGUGUCAGGCAGCAAGUGGUGUGAGAAUGAGAGCUCGCCGCAAAACAAGCUUUCUCCUAUUGCGAAUGCGGAAGUUCGGCGGAAAGAUAGACUCCGAGCUCGUGUGGCAAGGUGUGGAAAGCCAAGUAUGAGAGCAAAGAGACGGGUCUGUUCAGCUUGAACAGGAGACACUUCAGCUGAUGCAUCGUCCUCUGGGUCUGUCUCGCGUAUCGGUGCUGGUGGUGGAGUGGGCUCGCGUGGAGGUGGAGAUGCAACGCAGCAGAGCCAUGAUGCAAUCCGAGUCAGCAAUGAGUUCUUCUGCUCGGUCGUAUUAUAGACCCAAUCGCUCAAACUCCAAGUUUGGCUCCUUCGGUGGCUCCAUGGCGACGUACUCGCUCAUAUCGAAGUGCAAUGGAGGCAACUGAGAGGAGGAGUAGUGCUGAAACGGUGGUGGCGCGGAAGCAGAAGGUUGAGAAAGGCCAGCCUCAUCAUGAUGGCCGGUACGUGCUACUCUCCGGGUGCCGCUAGUCUUCGGUGUAAUCGGUCUCUCGCAAAGCGCCCCAGCAGGCGGAUUAAAACCAAUGUUCUCGUGGGUCGCGAGAGAUGUCAAAUCAGUACGAGGGAGACGGAUGUACAUAUAAAGCUCAUCAUGACCCUGGAAACGGUAGACUAGUGAAUGGCAGAUAAGGAUCUCGCUAGCAUACAAGUGCACCCGAUCAAUGAAUCGCGCCGUAUUCUCUGGUGGGGGAUGUGCGAUGGUGAAGUGGCAAUGGGUGAUGAUGGGAGUCACCAAGCUACCAAUCAGGAUCACCUUCUUCGAGGAGUAAAGUGCAUUGUUUUGCACCUGGAUGAACUCCGGAACAAGCAACGCGGCAAAGUUGACGCGAUGCGUCUAUGAUACCAUUAAAUUGGGUCUUCGUGCUCCGCGGAAAACCAUAGAGGUUGCAUAGCUGGCUAAGCGUGAUGGUAAAUGGCCGCUUGGCAAGGAAGAAGGAGAUGUAAUCAGCGGUGGCAUCAGGGGGGGGGGUUUCGUCGGAUAAUGAAGUGCCACCGUAACUAGGAACUCAGCAGCGGCUUCAGGGAAUAGAAGCCACCGCUUUGCAGAGAAGCUCUCGAAAUCGGCAUUGCGCAGGGAUGCCUUGACAUCAUCGAGAAUGCCAAUGUCACGCAAAACAUCGGUUUGCAGAAAACCGAGUAGGCUCGAUCUUGCAGGCUCGGAGCACGACGGUGUCAUCCUGAUCCUUUCUCGUCCACUCUCGCUUUCCAGUAGCUGGUUUCAUUCCGCCGUGUUGUCUAGGAGCCAUUUCUUGGGUCGGGAUCGAUCGAUCUCUGGUGUAGACCAGUCGAUCCCGAGGCUUCUGUUCCUCGAUUUAGAUUCAGGUCAGACCGAUCAGUCGCGUCAGCUGGAUCUUCUCGGAUCGCUUGUCUCUCUUCCUGACCUUCUCGGAUCGCUUCUUAGAAGAAUGAGUGUCUCCAUCCAGGACUUCGUUGACAUCAUUCUCAUCACCAAGGUCUCCUACCAGCAUGACAUCCACCGUCUUCAAUUGUCUAUGGUGAGACAAGAGCCAUAUCUUAUAGCUUCACUGGUAUAGGUUUCGUCAUCGAAGACUUUCUCAUUGAUGUUAGAGAAGUCAAUCGUCUUAUUAUGUAGAUCAACAAUGGCACCCACGGUUGCAAGGAAAGGUCUCCCAAAAAUCAAAGGCAUAACAGGACCUUUGGUCAUCUCAACGACAUAAAAAUCGGUGGGAACCAAGCAACUUCCAACGCGGACAUUAAAUUCAUGAAUGAAGCCAUCAUGAGUUAUGGUGGAAGCAUCCGCGAACUUGAUAGAUACCUGAGAAGCUUUCAUAUCAUUGAUCUCCAACUUCUCUGCAAUAACCUUAGACAUGAGGUUCAAGCUAGAUAUGGAACCACAGAGGGACUUGCUGAAGACCUCUCCAUCAAUUGAACAUGGGAAAACAAACUUCCCUGGAUCUUCCAGCUUCGACACCUUAGUGAGAUUCGUGGUGAGAGUAUCCCUUUGUUCUCCUUGAAGUAAUCGUACGUCUUAGCAUCAAGUUGCGUCUUAGAGAUACGCGGAUAAGGACUCUUGGGCUUGUAGGGAACCACAUCAGCUCUAGCAACAACUUGCGUACCAGCAUCAUUCGAAAACAGAUCAAGCACACUCGGAUCCGUCAUCGGGAUCGAUCGAUCUGUAAGGGGAUCGAUCGGUCCUAUCUCUCUGGUCAGUAAAUCAUCAGCGUCGAGGAGAUCGAUCGGUCUAGGAGUUAUAUCGAUCGGUCCUUCGUCGUUUUCGCUCAGGACUCGUGGGUUUGCUGCAGUAUGAAGCUUCGCCUUAGCUCCAGCAUGAACCGUAAUAGCGGACAAGUCAGAGAAGACUCUAGGAUCUCCGUUGUUGGCCUAGGCCUUUGAAUGUGCAGCAUGUGAUGGGAUCGAUCGAUCUACAGGAUGGAUCGAUCGGUCUGCGGUACAGAUCGGGACUGAUUGCUGGAUGCGUUGGAUCGAUCGAUCGUUGUGCUGGAUCGAUCGGUCCUGAGCUUCUGCGAAGGCUUGUACAUCGUCAAUCUCACUUUGAAUCGUGAUUGCAUUGCAGAACUCUUUAGGAUUAGAGCAAGACGCAAUCUAAGACAUCCUCAUGACAAAAGAAUCAACACGAGAAGCCAAACUCUCAAUUGUUUCAUUGAGCUCGAUGUACAUGCUCUCCAUCUUCUCCUUCAUGUCUUGCGCCUCCACAAAACAUCUCGGGCCUCCACAAAACGUCUUGGCGUCGUCAGACCUGCCCGGCGUCGCAAACUCUUUCUUUCUUCUUUUUUUCGACCUUUCACCUGCAAAAAGAGAAAAACCCUAAUUAGUAAACAUAAUAAAAAAUCUUAGACUAAACCCUAAUCUUAAACUCGUAGGCAAGCGUUAUUGGUCCCCGGCAACGGCGCCAAUUUGAACGUAGGUCAAAUAAUAAACCUAAAUAUGCAAACUACCGGAUCAAAUACGGUAAUCAAUUGUAGCACUUUAGGGUCGAAUCCACAGGGACCGAUAAGUUACACUACGAAUUCAUGGGAUUAAAGUUAAGCUAAGACAAAAUAAAAUAAGAUUUUGUUUCUAACAGCCUAACAAGAAAUUAAACAAAGCAAAUAAAUAAUAAAAGAAUAUUAGGCAUAGGGAAACCAUCCGGGAUGUGACAAAACAAUUAAAUCAAUUAACAAGGAAUAUUAAGAUAUGUUCCAGAACUCAAUUCACAAUUAUAAUGGUAAGUCACUCUCGCACAAAUACCUACUUAGCAAUACUAAAUUAAAGAACCGCUCUCGCGAGAACCCUAAGUAAAGCUAGCAUUAAAAACAAGAUUGAUUUGUUCACAAGAUGCCAUGGCAAGAACUUUCGUUGCCAAGCCAUGGAAUCUUGCUCGCCUAAUGUUGAUUCCAGAAACUAAACACCAUUUUCGCACCUAGUUUAAUCACCUAAGAUCUUAGAACAAGUUAGCUACUCAAGCCCUAAGCAUUAAGAACAACAUUAGAAGAAGAACUAUAAAAUAAAUUCCCAAACUAACAACCUAAUAAUCGGUCACAUCCCUUCAGAAUAACCCUAGCCUAAUAAGGAAACUACUUAAGCAUAGAGACAAGAACAAAGAUGAACACAAAAGGAAACAUCUUUAUUAAAGAAUCUAAACUUAAAAAGAAAGCUAUAAAAUAAAAGAAAACAAAACUAGGGGAGAGCUACAGCUCUCAAAAGAGAGAGCCACUGCUCUAAAAAGAUGUGUUUUGAUACAAGGUCGAGCCCUCCUUAUAUAGGAAAAGGGGAGAGCAACAAAAGGAAAGAAAAUAAAUGGAAAACUUGGAGAGGAGGCAAAAAGAGGCGGUGGACCGGUCGAUCCAUGGGCCGGAUCGAUCGGUCCUCAUCUUCAUGGGCUUUGGGCCGAAAUCCUCACAGGAUCGAUCGAUCCUAACAUUGUACUGGUCGAUCCUGACUCCCGUCCACGUCAGCUUCGUCAGCAUGUUGACCUGUCUUCAGUAAAUCAGCCAUAACUCUUGAUUGCACCGUUGGAUUUCCAUGAAACCACUUGGAGAUGAAAGCUAACUCCCUUGGAUAUCUUGUGUCAGAAUCUUAGAAAGAUCCAACGGUGGGACGCUCUUCGUCUGAGGCCAUACUUCUGACGGGUCUUCUGGACUCUGCAUCUUUCAAUGUAUAUUUGCAUCCAAAUUGAUCCAAAACUCUUCCUUUUGCAAUAAACGCUCUUUAGACCUGUAAUACACUAAGUGAAGCAUAUAGUCCUAUAUUCUAUCUAAUAUAAGUUAGUUGACUCAAUAUACAAACCUAAAUCCUAUAUAGAAAACGGUAAUUUUGGGACUCAUCACCUACAAGGGACGAUUGAUUUGGGUCUUUAUUAUACUAACCUUAACAAAGAAGGUUUAGUUGGUUUUGCUGAUGCAGGUUAUCUAUCAGAUCCACAUAAUGGUAAGUCACAAACAGGUUAUGUGUUUACACACGGUGGAACCGCGAUUUCGUGGCGAUCAAUGAAGCAAACGAUUGCUGCCACUUCAUCUAAUCACGCGGAGAUAUUGGCAAUACAUGAGGCCAGCCGUGAAUGUGUGUGGUUGAGGUCAAUGACUCAACACAUAAGAUCAAAUUGUGGAAUGGAAGAGGAUAAAGGACCAACGGUCAUGUACGAGGACAAUGCGGCCUGCAUAGCACAACUUAAGGAAUGUUACAUCAAGGGAGAUCGGACAAAGCACAUUCUACCUAAGUUCUUCUUCACGCAUGACCUACAAAAGGAUGGUGAAGUUCAAGUGGUGCAAGUUCGUUCAAGUGACAAUUCAGCCGAUCUCUUCACUAAGGCACUACUAACAUCAACACUAAGGAAGCUCACGCAUCAAAUUGGAAUGCGGAGACUUAGAGAUUUUCAGAGAUGACCAAAAUAGGGGGAGUAAUGCGUGUUGUACUCUUUUUCCUUCACUAUGGUUUUGUCCCAAAUGGGUUUUCCUAGUAAGGUUUUAAUGAGGCAGCAACCCCCAAGCGCAUUACAGAGAUCCUUUUGGCAUCUACACGGUUAUAUCAUCCAAGGGGGAGUGUUGUAGACCGCAUGGUCGGAUGGACUCGAUAACCGUGGCCCAUACACAUGUUCUAGAAGGUCCGGCCCAGCGGUCCGGCCCAUCGUGAGAAGACAAGAGGAGGUCUAAGUGUUAAUGGUUCAUGGGCCUUGUAUUUCUAGCCCAAUUAGAAUUGUAACCUCCUCAUGUGUAUAUAUAUAUAUAUAUAUAUAUGUUGUAACCUCCCUUCAUAAUCAAUAAGAAUUCACAAGUUCUAUAACAAUUCUAUAUUAAAAUGAUCCAUUUUAAUUAUCAAUAACUCUAUCAAUACACUAAUAAAAUCCAUCAUAGUUAUCAACAACAUAUAAAAAAGAAAGAUUAACUUAAAUGGUGUAGAAAAGUUGGUUUAUUGCUAGCGUGGGAUACAUUUUCUAAAAAUAACUCAUAUGUUUUUCGUCCUUGUAAAAUUACUAUUAACACCCUUGAUUAUUUUUUUUUGUUUUAACUAUAAAAUGAUUUAAAAGAAAUUAGCAUAAUCCACGUCAUUAAUUGUAAUCCCACGCCGACAAAAACUUUAAUUCUCAAAACAGAGGGAAGGGAAACUCAAGAGUCCAUUUUUCGCAACUGUUCACGGCGAGGAAACAAAAAAUUCUCUCUUCUCUUUCCGGCGAUUUCAAACAGUAAACCCUAAGUCGGCCAAAGUAUAGUCUUUUCCGACCGUUUCUCCGUCAUAUUCGUCUCAAUAUCAAGGAACUCAAGUGGGUUUCUUCAUCUUCCACUGAUUCCAAAAAAAUCUCUGCUUUCAUCACUCUCGGUAAGUUUGAAUAUCUCUAUUUGGUUGAGUUUAAACCGUUAUCUGAGGUAUAUGUAGCUUUUUAUCGGUGAUUAUUACGGCUGAUUUCUGCCGUCGUUGUGGCUGAUUUGAUAGAUCUACUGGAUUUGGUGUCUAGUUUAUUACGACUGAGUUACGGGUUGUGUUAGGGCUAAUUUAUGGUUUAUAUUGGUAUAUAUGGCUUUUUAUCGGUGAUUAUUACGGCUGAUUUCUGUCGUCAUUGUGGCUGAUUUGAUAGAUCUACUGGAUCUGGUGUCUGGUUUAUUACUACUGAGUUAUUUUAUAUGUCCUGAUUUUAUAGAUGCAUCUGUGGCUGAAUUUGUUUAUGUCUCGGCUGAGUUAAUAUUUACUAUACGUUGAGUUAUACUAUCCCAAUGCAUUUGUGACUGAGUUAUUAUUCAUGUUUUUGCUGAGUCAUGAUUUAUACUCUGUUCGAUGUAACUAUACUCUGUUUGAUGUAAUCUUCUUAUCAGAUGGAUGAACAAAGGAAUUACCCUCCAAGACUGUAUGCGGAAGGGCAGUCUAAUCUGGAUAAUAAAGAUCUUAACCACAGUGUUCUACUCAGCCAUAUAGAUGCAUUCAGACAUUCCGUAGGUAAAACUGUGUGGAAUGAAAUUAAGAAGCACCCAACUGGAAUAGCAGCCAAAAUCUUUGAGAGAAACAUUAUAUGGUCUGCUAAAACUGUCCACUACCUUCUAUGCAGACAGUUAAGAGUAAGGAAGAAUGAGGUUUGGUUUCUCAUUGGUGGUAAACCUAUAAGAUUUGGGUUGAAUGAGUUUGAGCAUGUCACGGGUUUGACCACAUAUCCGUUGCCUACAGAGCCAUUUGACCCUGAAGUUGAUUACAAAGCGUUUUUAAGAGAAUUGGUGCCUGCUUCUGUAGAAGGAGGUCUCACUGUUGCUCCCACUUUAUAUGAGCUUCUGGAUGGAUUAGGUAAAUGCCGAGAAUGGGCACCACAAGACAUUAGACGUAAAUGGAUGGGGCGGUUGUUCCUAAUAUCAAUUGGUAUCCAUGGACUUCAUCACAACUCUAGAAUACCGUUGGAAUCUGCUUAAAGGGUUUUUGAUGAUGAAGCCAUGAAUAAUUAUCCAUGGGGUCGGGUAGCAUUUCAGUCUCUUGUUGGGUCUAUCAAGACCAUUAGUCCUACCGGAAGGACGUACACCGUCAACGGUCUGGUGUACGUGUUACAAGCAUGGGCUUAUGAAUCUAUCACAUGCUUUGGAGAACUUUUUGGUAACCCAUCCGACGGGGAUAUGUGUCCUCUGUUGCGAUGGAAGGGAAACCGCACACGAAAAGAUUUGUGGACGGUCAUUGAUGAAGAAAUCAAAACAAAUACAUCGGUAAGGUUUUGACUGAGUUAUAAAUUAUUAUGAGUAAUUGACGGUUGAGUUACUGUUAAUUGAUAGCAGAGUUAUAAUUAUCUGUGACUGAGUUAUGGACCACAAAUGACUGAGUUGUGUUUUAUUGAUGGCUGAGUUAUGGUUUACGAUGAUUAUUGUUUAUUAUAUCUGAUGUUGUAGGUGCGUGUGGUGCAUAUGGUUAUUAGAAAUGAUGGAGUGCUAUAUCCUCCUGAGUGGCCUGAUCAACCAGAAGACCAAGAACUUGAUAAUUUGAUCCAAGACUUGUCGAAUGGGAGGUUUGUCCCAGGCUUCUGGGAUCAGAAGAUGCCUGAAAAGAUGAUUGAGAAUAAGAAUAAGAAGAAGAAAAAACUAGCUGGUUUGGAUGAUUCUCAUCAUAUCGCAAAGAAGCAUAAAGGCUUGAAGGAGAAGGAUGUUGAUUUUGAUGAAUCUGUCGGGAAUAAGAAUGAUGAAGCAAAGGUAAUUGAUAUGGUAUAUUGUGUUGAUUUAAUGUUUGGUUAGUUUGGUUAGCUUGGUUAUGCGUUUUUUGUGUAUAUGUGUUGCAGGAUUUUAAUGAGGAGGCAGAUAAUGUGUCCCUUAGAAAACUCAUUAUGGAUAUGGAGGCUAAUUUCAGCUCAAGAAUUGAUAAUCUUGCUACAAGCAUGAACGGCAUGUCUUCACAGCUAGAGAAGGUGGAGAGUGAAUUGACAGAGUUGAACAAGUGGAAAGAUUCAAACCUUUUCCGGCUCAAGGAUCUGUUGGCUGUUAAUUCAUCCAUACCCGGCGACCCAUCCAAUGUGGUUAAAAAAUCAUCUGUACCCGUCGACGCAUCCACUCAGGGAAAAGGUCCCGUCGACCCAUCCCCGCCUACCUUUCCACCGCCACCUAUGAAAUCUGCAAGUAGUCAUCCUCCUCUGGUAAGCUAACAGUGCCAUACCUACGACUGAUUUAUGAUUAUAUCGGCUGAAUUAAAAAGCCAUUAUGACUGAGUUAUCUUAUUUUAUUUGUAAUGUUAUACAGGGGAAGAAGGAUGACAAAAUUCUUGAGAAUGUUCAGAAGAACCUGACUACGAAUAUGGAAGUGGCUGAUACUGAUAAUCUCAUUGAGGUGGUUGUUGCGAAAGAUGAUGGUAAGAAGCAUGUUGGUUUUCAGCGGUCUCCUGUAGUUUUGAGGAAUAAGAGGACAAAUCCAGUAAAGGCCAAAGAGUCCAAAAAAGCAAAAGCACAGGAAAAAAAAAGCAAAAGCAGAUGCCAAUAAAGCUUUAAAGAUAAACAAGCAUUGGAGGGGAAACCAGAAAAAAGGGUAGGGGAAGACCUAGAAAGACUGAUAAUGUGAACAAAUUCAUUGUCAAUCCAGAGCGGAAUGAAGAAGAGUUUACAUCAGCUGAUGAUGCGCUGAAUAGUUUAGCUGCUGAAGCAGUUUCUGAAAAAUUUUGGAAGAAGCUGAUGAUACGCUGAAUAGUUUAGCUGUUGAACCAGUUUCUGAAGCAGUUUCUAAAAAAGCUGAUGAUGCGCUGAAUAAUUUAGCUGGUGAAUCAGUUUCUACAAAAGAUGAUGAUGAUGUAAAAGCUGGUGAUGAUGCGCAUGAGAUAAUUGAUGGAAAACCUGAUGGUGAUGAUGAGCAGAAGAAACUUGAUGGAAAAGCUGAUGGUGAUGAUGCGGAGAAGAAACUUGAUGGAAAAGACAAUAAUGAUGAAGAAGUACAAGAGUCCACACUUGAUGUUCUAGCGGACGACAUGAGCAUGAUACCUGAGUCUGAUGUUGAUGCGGAUGGACAAAUAAGGCUUAAAUUGAUAAGUGAUUUCAGGAAUAAGAGUGUUAAGUUAAAAGAAAAUGGGACUGAUAUGAUUAAACUAAAAGAUAAGCCACCAGGUGUUUUUCCUCAUAUUGGAGAUGACGGAUUGAAGUGCAUGAGGAAGAACUGUGAACCUUUACCUGGAAUAUAUGAUCCUAUGUCACCUGUUGAUCCGGUUAGAUUUAAGAAACUGAAGGAACUCGUAUCAGGAAUGAAGUAUGAUCUAGUUCAUUAAUUUGUUAAUUACAGCUUCUUGUUAACAAUGUUUUAACAUAUUGACUUGUGUUUGUCUGUCAGGAUCAAAUUGGGAAAGAAGAAUGACGACCCUCGUGAGUUCUAUAGGGUCAUGAUUACCCCGAGAAAUAUUUGGCCACACACGGAGUAUGGAUGGCUGGACGAAACUGUAAGUUUUACGGCUGAGUUAUUCUAUGACUUAUUAUUCAUUAUGGCUGAGUUAUUCUAUGACCUAUUAUUCAUUAUGGCUGUGUUAUUCUAUGACUUAUUAGUCAUUAUGGCUGUGUUAUUCUAUGACUUUUUAGUCAAUUAUGGCUGAGUUAUUCUAUGACUUAUUAUUCAUUUUGGCUGAGUUAUGCGUUUUUUCUUUCAGCAUAUCAAUGCCUACAUGAGAGUUCUCAGACGUAGGUUGAUUACAAAACCAUGCCCAUAUCAUAGCGAAGGCAUUGCGUUUGUAGAUCCGUACUUCUCCACUCAUAUGAUCAGAGAUUAUCCUCAGUUCAAAAUGAGACCUAAGAACUUCAAGUUUAAUGGGUUAAACUAUGAAUCUGUAGUCAGAGGUUUGUAUCCCGACGAUCAAAAGACUGGUAAGAUAUGGGCGCUAGAUGUUUGGCAUGUGUAUUUUGUUGUACACACCAGAGGUGAUCAUUGGUUGGCGCUGGACGUGGACAUGAUGCGUGGGCACAUUGAUUGCUACGAUAGCAUUGUGGGAACAGUGACUGAGGAGAAGAGAUUACGAAUUCUUGAAACGGUUAAGCCGUUUAGGAUAAUGAUUCCGUACAUGCUGAACGAUAUAAUCCAUCCCUCCCAACGAUCCCCUAGCUAGAAGCAGUUUACUUUCAGAUGGAAGAGUCCAAAUAAUGUGCCUCAAAACGAUAUACUAGCGGAGGAACCUGAAUUUUAUAAGGGAUUUAUUAACUAAGCAGGCAGAGAAUAUGAAAUUUUAUGUUUUAAUUCUAGGAAUGUUUAUUUUGUGGACAUUUGAUAUAACUCAGCCAUUACGCAUUAUUAGUAAUUCAAUUAACUAUAUAACUCAGCCGUUACGUUAACAUAAAUCAGGCAUGAAGCAUUAUUAAUAAAUCAAUGAACAAUAUAACUCAGCCAAAAUGAAUCUAUAAUUAGUAGUACAUUAUUAGUAAACAAUAUGACUCAGCUGCCAUGAGAUAAAUAAAUCAGCCAUGAAGCAUUAUUGAUACAUCAACAACGGAAAUUUGCCGCCAAAACAUUAGUUAACAAACUUUGGCGCGAAACAAUAAGUUAACAAACGUAACCUUUCGCAUUCCUCUCAGUUUUUUUUCUCUAUUUAUAUUAGAUAACCCUAAGUUUCAUCACAUGCAUAUUCGAUCUUAUUCACCCUUUCUGUUACAUCUUCUUAUCGACAUGGAAGUUGUUCCUCAAAUCAGAAGUCAGUUUCACGGAGAUGUUAAAGCGAUCAUAUACGCUGCUGAUCGUGAGAAUCUCUCCGUUCUAAACCCUGGUGGUGGUUUUGGUUUCAAUCUUGACAAAACCUCUGACACGUUUAAAGAGUUCGAUUUCAAACUAUAUUGCGCAUUCACAGAUAUCCUGAGAGACAAUUGGGUGCAUGCGUGGCCGACUUCUCGCUGCAUUCCAUUCCAUUAUAGGAAAUAAUGGUUUUUAACACUCGCGGUAAGCAAGCACCGAUAUUUCCCUUGAUAUUAAGCAGACUAAAAUCUUAUUUUGACUCUUAUGAAUAAUAUAUAUAUAUCUUUGAUGAGUAGCGUCAAUACACGUGGGAUCCGAGACAUACUUUUACGGUGUGGAAGCAGUUUAAUUUGGUGGUUCGAGAAGUAUACGGAGUAGAGAUUCGUUCGCUCAUUUGGAAGAAACGAAAUUAUGCCGAUAAGCCCGACUGGAUGAAUGAGCAAGUGUGGAAAGAUUUCUAUUACAUUUUUAUGAAUUUAGGUUAUUAAAAAAAAAUGAAAUUUUAUUGUAUUUUAUUUUCAAUUAAAUGAAUGAUAUGUCUAUAUUUUACCCAUUUUAAGCAUUCAUUUGUCAUAGUUUUAGUAUACCUUCAUCGCAUAUUCGUUGUGUUCUCAGUCCAUUUUGCACAUUUUGCACACUUAGUAGUAUUUGCAUUAGUAUUGCAAGCAUACAUGCAUUUGGAGUUGUUAUUAGGUGUUUUGGAGCUCUCAAAGGCUAAGGAAGGAUCUGAUGCUAUCUCUGGAUCUAAACAAGAGGAUUGGAAGCAUCAAAAAGUGAAGAAGAAGCACUCGACCACCCCACUCGACCGUUGACACCGAGCACUCUAUUGGAUUCAUGACAAGAAAUUCAAAGAUCGACUUAAAUGAAGAUCUUAUGUUGGGAUUUAGCUUCAGAGAUCUGCAGAAACGUUGUGGGCAAUCGAGUGAGCUUUCUAAUGCCAGUAAAAUCAGGCCAAUCCGAUACGCGGUUCAAGAGUUAUGGCUAGUUUAGUGAAGCUAUAUACAUCCUGAGCUCGACCCAGCCAGCUCGACCCCGUAGCUCACCAGCUCGAUCGAGCUGUCUUCCGUUGGAAUUAAGCUUGCGAUCUCUUCAUCAAACUUGUGGGCAAUCGAGUUAGCUUUCCAAUGCCUUUGGUUUCAAGUCAAUCCGAUAUGCGGUUCGUGAGUUGUAGCUGUUUUAGUAAAGGUAUAUAUUCGGAGCUCGACCUCACCAGCUCGAUCGAGCUGUCUUCCGUUCGGAUUCAGCUUCAGAGAUCUUCACUGAAGUUGUUGGAAAUUGAGUUAGCUUUCCAAUGCCAUUGGUUUCAAGUCAAUCAGAUAUGUGGUUCGAAAGUUAUAACUGUUUUAGUGAAAGUACAUACAUCUAGAGCUCGUGCUGCAUGAUCGAAUUUGGGACUCGGGUUAGGACAGAGUCAUGACCUUAAAACAGAGCUCGACCGAGCUGAAGCAGUGGAGGUCAAGCUGGGAGUCGAGUGCGAGAUCGAGCUACGAUAAAUUUGGAGUCUUGAAGAGGAGCUCGAUCGAGCUCAUACAGAGGCGUCUGGGCUGGGACAGAGUGAUCAACUUGUGCAGAAUUCAAGCAAACAUGUGCAGACCAUAGUAACCAGCUCGAUCGAGCUGUCUGAAGCAGAGAAGAGCUCGACCAAACAACUCGAGCUGGGCUUAAACUGACUUAAAAUCGUUGACUUUGACUAGGGCUUUCACAAGUUUAGUAUAAAUAUGUCUCAUUUGUUUAGACUUGAUCAUCUUCCUUUUUAGCUAUUUUUAGAACUUCUCUCAAGAACAAAAACGUGUCUAAGGCUUUGUAAUUCGAAUUCUCUUUUAAUCUUUUAAGUUUUUAUAGUUUUGUAUCUCUCUUUUAUGCUUUAGUUGUUAUAAUCUUGUUAAUCUCUCUUUAAUCUCUUUUCAUAAUGUUGCUAUUUGAAUUUUCUGGGUUUGUGUUCUUGAGCUUCAUGAUUUCUGAGUAGUGUUCUUAGAGUUCUUGAGGUUGGGUGAGAUCCAUGGAGUUUUCUUAGUCUUUUCUAGGGUUUUGAUGUUUAGAUCUUCUAGAUCCCUUCUGGAUUAGUGUUCUUCAUGCUAGCUUCUUUCUGAUCAACUCAAGCUUGAUCCGAGGUAUUUCCACCCGAGAGGGCUUGGUGAAAUGCCUGAUCUAGCUAAUACCGGAGAUUUGCAUAUCUAGCCUAAGAGAUUAGUUGUCUGGAUUGCUUUUUGGCAUUGAUAGAUUGGUUCCUAAAGCCUGCCUUGUUAUGUUUCUCUAAAGAGAUUUAGGUUUGGAGGUGACUUGGUUUGAGGGUCUCUGUCACGAGAGUGGAUUGACCUGUAGUUGAAUCUUUCGUCUAGGGAUAGCUUUGUUUAAAGUUUUAUCGAAUUUCUAAGUUAGACUAGGCGACUUCAUGGAUCAUUGAUACCCAACCUCACGAGCUCUCUUUUAUCAUCUGUUGCAUCAGUUUAUGUUUUGCUUGAUUGGGAACCACCUUCCACUUUCCUGCAUUGUCGGUCUCGGCAGCCAAUUUCCAGCCCUCGCAGUAGGAAGCGACGGAAGAGCUAGAUUCGACGGAGCUCGGGAGCUUAAUGAAGGAAGGGACACGUGAAGAGAUUGUUGGAUUAAAGACGGCGAAUAAAGCGAGGCUGAAGAAGGAAAUUAAGCUGCUACGAGAAAAAGCCAUUGGAGAGACUUUUUACUCAAUUAUUGUAGGGAAUGGAACAUGCAGAAGUCCCUUUUUCCAUGUUUAUAACUUUUAGUUGCACCAAUCAGUCAAUGAAGUGGCAAACCGAACCAUUUUAUAUUUCCCUAAAAAAAGGCAUUUACAAUGUAAUUUUUACAUUUUUAACCACUAAAAAGGCCAAAAGAAACAGCCUGACCAAAUAAUAAAAUAAUUUAUCUUGUCGAAAGUCACCGAACCCUUUAAUCCCCAAAUGCACUUGAACUUCCUUUGCAACAAACAGGCUUUGAAGGUUUAGUCUUGUGAUGUAGCAGAGUAUUCAAAAAGCAAACGUUUUGAAGGUGCGGAUUGCAGGAGGACACGCAAGCGGCUCGUGAGUUGAUAGAUCAGUGUCCAUUGCAUCGCCAUUUCAGAAUCUUUCAUCUGUCUUACCACAGAGGCCUGUAGAUAAAAGACAGUAAGAACCGGGUGAUGUUUAUUUACUUGCCAUACGGAGAAGAAAGAAGAUUAAAUGUAUAUGCCUGACCUGAAGACGUUUUCCGAGCUGCACUUCAACUUCGGUUCCAAAUGAGAUGUUGCUUGCCAGAGACUUGAGAGGAUCAAUAGUUGGAUCAACAGAGAGUAAACUUGGGAUCUGUGGGGCGUACACCAACCUCCAUCUUGCUUGACCAAACUCUCCUUUCCCUUCUAUCCUUGGCAUUAUGGUUUCAAGUGUUGCGGUUGCAAGUUUUUUGAAAGCAAGUUGUCCAUCUCCUUCUAAUAUGGAUUCUGCUAAUUGGCUCUCGAAAACCUUUGCAGCCUGGAUUGUAAACAGAGAAUUUCAUCAACACGAAAACCGUAACAACAUUAUUAAAUUUAAACUAGCGUUUUGACGUCAAAGUACCUCGGAAGGUGAGAGAGCAUCCUGUUCCACAGAACGAGUUGAAGUCACCACAAGUUUUUCCUGCCAAUUGCUGGCACGACUUUGGACCCUAAAUUGCCAUUCUGAACCAACUAAAGCUAAAUCUAGCAGAGGAUCUAGUCCAUGUUCAGGCUCAAAUUUUGCAAUGUUGAGAUGCUCCCUCUUCAGACGUACCUGUGUUUAGAAAACAAAAUAGAGGGUAGUUGAGGACAGCCUGUGUGAAGUUUUGCAAGAAGGAAUAAAUGAGUUCACGACAGAAAAUCAAACAGAGAUUUAGACAAAACCUGAGUAGCCACAAGAUUGACAUCUCCAUUCUCGAACAUCAGGAUACCCUUUGGUUUGAUAUAUUUGGGAUGAGCCAUGCCAUCAAGCUCAAGCUCACCACUAACAGCAAAAUUAAGAAUUAAAGGAUACACUAUCCUCAACUCUGGUCCUAAAACAAGUUUCAUAUCACUCAGACGGAUAUCCAUAUUUGGUUUCAUUUUCACUUCGUCAAUCUCCUUUUCAACAGCAUUUGAUUCACCUGUGGUGGGUCAAACAAGCAGAGAUCAUUACAAAGUUUUACCUACAAAGUCCAACUACAACUAAAAAAGAAAACGCUCAUCGAAUUUUUGCUAGUAAAGACAACAGUUACCAGAAGACUGGGAGAAUUUCAUCCUUGAAGAAGCCGGUUCUGUACCAAAAAAUCGAGCAAAAUAUCGUGAAGCAACUGCUUGAUUAAUAGCACCACCUGGAAUCCUAUAUUGAUUGGCAGCCAAUCUAUUGAGUGGGGCAGCUCCCCCACCCUUAUCAUGAGGCAAAUAAGCUUCUCCCUGGCUUAAUUUAAUACUUCCUGAUAUAGUUGGCUGCAACAUUGAUCCAGUAAUUUGCAGCUGCGUAUCAACCUGACCACUAUUUUGGAAACACAAUCACUUUCAUAAGGAAUUAGAAAAUGUUAUAAGCUCAGUAACAUGAGUCCAGAAGAAAAGAAUUUAAGAAAUCUAAACAGAUCCAGGAUAAAGUAGAUACAUCAACAGUUCAAGUAAGAAAGCAAUUAAUCAAAAUUAUGUACUACAAGCUUGAAAUGAUUGACAGCAGCGUUGAUUGCAGCGUGUACCUUAAGAAAUUCUUUGCUCGUACUUCAAGAACUUCACAUUUGAGAUCUAUUCCAUCGCCAGUGGCUGCUUCAUUUGAUCUAAGGGGAAGAUUUCCUUUAACAACCAGCUUUCCUCUUCUACUUACUCUGCUUUCCAAUGAGCUGAUGCACAACCUGUUUGAUUUAACAUGUAAGGUCCCACCGAAGUUUGUAAGAGGUUUACGGAGCACAGGUGAAGAUAUAGAUGCCCUGUUGAAUGAAGCAGACCCAUCAAGAACAGGAUGCUCCACUGUACCUCCGACCUGCUCAGCAGAUAGGGUAUACGUAAAUGAGUCCGACCUUCUAUAAUGUUUAAGGACAUGAACAGAUCAAUUAAACUAUCUUUUGAUGUCAAAAUAACUUAACAAGAGUACAAGCUAAUAUUUUUUGGCCAACCUGAAGCCGGAUAUCAGCAUUGCCUUGUAGCCAAUUAGCAUAAGGAGAUAUGGCUGUCAACAAUGUCAUCCCCCCAUCCUUGAUGUCUGCCUCCAAUCUAACUUCUCCUGCAUCUAAAAUAUUCCAGUUCAAACCUUUGAGACUCUCAGCUAGUUGGCUGUCCCAUCCCUCUUCGCCCCUAUCCCUUGAGGUUCUCUUCUCAUCAUCUUCCUUUUCUUUUGCCCAGCUAGGGACUUUUACUGCACCACCUCUAUCAGUUUCCCUGUCUU
rnacentral:lncRNA from 1 species